AAAGGGGCAACCUAGGCCGCUUUGGUCCUAGGCCUUGUUUUUCUGUCGCAUUUUUCUUUCUAGUGGCGCACAAUUCUUAAUGUCUUAGGUGUCUAUGCUGUGACUUUGUGUAUGUGUGUGUGAGCCCCUUGUACCCCUUUAUUCUCUUGAUGAAAUGAUAUGCAGCUCUCCUGUAUAUUCAAGAGAAAAAGGAAGCUCAAAAUGACAUUUUUCAUGGCCAAGGAAACAUCGGUUGGUGCCUCUGGGAACUUGAAACAGGGAAAAGCCAUAUGAGUAUCCUCCUCAACUCCCUCACUCAGGUAAGAAAAGUCAUAUGUUAGGAAUGAAUGAAUUAGCAUGCUCCAUAACAGCCACAAGGUUUCACCGUUCCACUUUGGUAUGAUAAGUAGUGUAGUAUUUCAAACAAAUGGAGGACCAAGUUGGUGCCUUGUGAUGAUAUGAGAUGAAACUAAUGAUGUCUAUAUACAGUAUUCUGACAUCAUAUUUCGAAAUGAUGAAAUGCUAGUCGAGAGUAUACAUGAGGAGCACCUUGGUAAACCAGCAUUGAUAUUGGUAGAGCAAACUGUUUGAGACAAAUAGAGUAUCACAUACAUAGAUGCAACACAAUGGGAUAAAAGUGAAUUAUGACUCCAGAAGGAGGUUAGCUUUCAUAUAGCAAACUGGACUUUUCUACAAUAUUUCUCAUGACAAAUCAUUUCCUAAGCUUCUUUAACUCAGUAUAGUUCCUGGGGUAAUUUUAGUGGGACUAAUCAUCUGAGUAUGGUACAGAAUUUGAAGUAAAACAAAGGAAGCUUCAAAGGCCAGUUAGAAUUAAUAGCAUAACUCUGUAAGGAACAAUUAUAAUAAACAACUCCAAUUACAGUUUGAUUCAAAGAAAAAAAAAACUUUUGGCUUCUGGAAAGGAAUUAAUGAGAAAUAACUGAAAUGGACACUGGGCAGAAUUUAGGUACUGUUAAAUUUCCAUCAUGUGGAAGUGGCAGGUAGAAAGAGGCUCAAGUCUUUAUGUAUCAACAUGAACAGAACUAGUAUGCACUUUACACAUGACUUAUCGCUUGCUACAGCUUAUUUGACUUGCACUUAUAAAUGAUAGUCAUGUACCAAGCAAUCAGUCAGAUUUUUAAAUAUGAGAAGUUCCAUGAGCAAAACAAGUAAAUAUUCUACAUUUGUGGUAUAAUUGGCACUCUGGUACCCUUCUUACCUGAAAGUGAGAACUGCAUAAACAACGGGCGAUCUGACGAAAAAGGGGCACCAUACACCUCUGGAAUUCUGCUGGCUGAGUAGCCUCUAGUACCUCCUCUAGCUCACCCAAAAACAUCACCUCCUUUGAGCUAUUCGUGAUGGGCCAAUACUUCAGUAAACCCCUUAUGACAGUAUCAGCAAGCUUGCAAUCUUUCUCAACAAACUGAGUGACACAGUAUGACAGUUGCUGAUGGUACAUGGCAACACAUUUUGGUUUGUGGAGUGGAAUCAAUGCCCGGACCAAAAACAAUUUGUGCUCUUCCUUGAGCGGCAAAGCGAAGCCAUUAAUUAUACUCCCCAAAAUCUCUAACAGCUCUGCAAUCCCAUUAUGCUUCUCUGUCUCAAAUAUGAACCUGUAGAAGAUAUUAUUAAUUGCCUUCCUGAUGAAUGGACGGUGCACCAUGAACUUGCCAUAUAUCCUGUGAAGUAUUGUUUUCAAGUACUCCCUCUCCCUAGGAUCCUCUGAGUCAAAGAGAUCAAGAAGCCUGAUAAUAAAACCAUGAUCAAUGUACCUCUUGGCCAGCUUUGCAUCUGUCUCAGGAGACUGAAUAAAUCUCAAGAACAGUUCAUAUACAAUCUGCAAGUGAGGCCAUGCCGGGUCCAUGACAGGCUCUUCCUCCUCCAAGUCGAACGACUCGAGCACCUUGUUCUCUCUCGGAGCAGGGUUUGGGGCUCUGAACAAAUUUAUAGACACCAUCUUGAUGACCUCCUGGACAACAGGCUCCGGGAACUUCCCGGUGGCAGAGGUGAUAUAGUCCACCAGCUCAAGCAACGUCUGCCUCUUGAUCUCCUUCUCCUUCACAUCCUUGGUCGGGUCCGUGAAGUCAAACACCACGCAGCACAUGGCCAGCUUCCUGAGGAACAGGCUGGGCUUCUCGGAGGCCGGCACGUCCCGGAAGCUCGGGAGCGCCUCGUACCCGGCCGAGGCCGUGAACCCGUUGCUGACGCCGGCACCAGCGCCGGCGUUCCUGGCCGCGUAGUUCUGGCCGGGAUUUGUGACCGUGGAGGCAUAACUGCUGGGAUUGACGAGCCUGCUAGACAUGGUCAAAUCCGUGGUGGUUCUUGCAUCGGCUGUCGGGCUGGGCAGCGACGUGCCCGCUCCGGCCAACUCCUUCUCGCCGGACUUGGCCGGCUUCUUGGGAAGCCGGCCGAGGAUUUGCUUAAUCAUGACGGAUUGAACCCCCGAACAAGUCCCCGAUCACAAUCGCGCUAAAGAAGCCUCCCCAAAUCCAUAAUCCCUUCGCCUGAUCAAAUUAAACACCGUCAUAACCUGAAACGGCAAUAUCCACGAAACAAAAUUGGGGAAAACCGCACCUGGGGAUCGAAUCGACGCCUCCGGAGCCGAAUCCGCGAUCGACGCCCUCGCAAGACCGCGCCUCUCGACGGGGAAACACAAUCAGGAACGGCAAUAAAGGGGCAGACCGGCGGAGUCAAAAAGGAAAAGGGGGCGCGGGGAGCGAAAGCAAAAGGCGGAGAAAAAUCGCGGCUUUAUCACGAAUUCCCGCAGGGAUUGGCCCGGGGCAGGCGCGGAAGGCUGCGAAUCGGACGGAUUGGUCCGGGAGCCCGUGGGAAUUUGGGUGGAGUUCGCGGAGGAGACGGUGGUGGCUCGUGCGUUCGGGUCUCUUCCGGGGGGCCGGCGCAGUGCGGGGAGGGAGAUAGUAGGUGGGCGAGGGCCAAAUUGGGCGAGGAAAUUAAAGACGACGGCGAGUCCUUUCUGGACCAAAUCCAAAUUCGUGAGAAUGGAUAGCCUCCGACGGCCGUAAAUUUUGUGGCGCACCCGGCGCUGAACAAUUCCCCUCCACAUCGAUGGUGCCACGAAACAUAUUCCCCUGCAAAAUUGUUCGUAUCUUCUUCUUUUGUACUUUUGUACAAAUUUCUAGGUUAUGCAAGUACUCAUCCACCAAGAUUUAUAGUCAAAUAAAAGGAGUUUCACAUGUAUAAUAGUUUUUGCUACCCGUUAAUAGGUUUGUAGAAAUAUAUCCUCCUGUAUAAUGAUUUGUAUCUUCAUGUUUUAUGUUUGGGAUCUUAUUUAAAAAAGUAGUGAAAUGAUGUAGGGUUUUGUCUUUAUGUUUCUUUUUUCUUUUUUAAAAGUGUUGCAAGUAUUAGUCCACAUAGAUUUAUAAGGCAAAUAAAAAAUGUUAUUUAGUAGCCCAUGUGUAACCACAUAUAUAACAGAACAUGUAUGAUUGUUAUCGUUAAGAUGAGUUAUUGUCAUGUUAGACACCAUUGAAAUGAAGUCAUAAGCAAACCGAGUUGGUUGUCUUCUUCGUGUUGGAAAUUGCCUACCUGAUUUGAAUCUCCGACGGUAUGAGUGCUUACAUUUUCUAUAAACUAUUAUUUCAGCAUAGGCGAUAGCACAUAUCGACACCGAAGAUUGUAGCAACCUUGUUAAUCUCAAAGUCUAGCGGUCUAGUCUCUCGAAGAUAUUUCUAUGGAUGAAUGAGAGUAUUGUGAUUCCAAACAAAAAAAAGGAAACAUUUCCAUAAGAAACAAACACACAUGUCCCUCUCAUUGUUUUAGUUUUAUAAAGUACGAUUGAGUAGAUGGUUUGAUUGAGGCCGUCAAAAUCUUCUAAACGAUUGAACCAGCAGUCUAGUCUAAGCUCGUAGACCAAAUUUUAAAACAAAAUGGGUUGAAUAAAUAAAACCUUAGUCCUUUUAUGUGUGGUACCCUCAGUGGGUACCCAAAGGAAAAGGAUGCACUAAAACAAAUGUUAAUGGAACUCAUGUAGAGAAUCAUACUCGGAUUAAAUAAAACAAAAGAAAGAAGCCAAUGGUGCCCCACUGACCGGCUGGUAGACUUGUAGCAGGUCCAACAAAGCACUAGCAAGAGAAUUGACCAGAGAGCAGCCAGCAUACACGCGCAUUCCUGCACUGGGUCACCGUUUCUGGAUUUGUCAAAUCCCAAAAUCAAAUUCCUCGUUCUUCAGCACGAGCACGAGACCAAUGAUAAAAACGCUCUGAAAACAGAAUUCCCGGUCAAAGGAACACCCCAGCUGUUUCUGAAGAUUUCUCAGGCAGGCUUUGUUUUUGACAAAAUUCAUCAGAAAAAAAAAUGAUGCAGUGGAUAAUGGACGGAUGGUGAACAGUGAUUAGCACACACGGCGAGAGUUAAAAGGUGGAGGAAAGUGGUUAGCUUAGCUGCCCCUGCUGUCACUGUUGAGCCCAGAAGCGAAGCGAGUGACAAAAUGGGUGGGAGAAAGAGGUGUCGCAUUCAGCUUCAGGUUCAGGGCAAUGUGAUAAAGCAAAGGCCUCGGCUGCUCACCUGCUGUGCCUGGCUGCCGCUCUGUCCGGCGACCACCUGCUCGUGCAAGCAACAUUUACCUAAUCCGUUUCACUUUACUCUAGCUAGCAAAUUUCAUUCGAGAUAGCUCACUGGGGAUUGAAACGGUAGAAAAAGUUAGUGUAAGAGUCCAUGAAAAGUGUUUUCUUUAAAUAAAAGAUUCUGCAAGAAACAGUUGUAAAUAUUUAUAAAUAUUUUUUCGGAGUUUGUUAUUUUCGUAACAAAAUGACACCUUUCCAUGAAGGGUAUCCAACUAUUCACGCAAUAGUUGCAACAGAAAGAAGAUCUUGGAAUUCCGAAAAUCUGCGCCAAAGCUCUCUUCGGACGCAUUUGGCCCAGUGGGCUACCAUGGGCCAUAGCUGAAUGAAGCGAAGUAGGACGAAUGAGGCCUCUGCAGAUAGCAUUUACCCUGUUUUCCCCGUCAGCAUCAUCCAUCGCGAGAAGCCAUGGCGUCCUUGUGCCGCACCGCCGCCGCCGCCGCCACCGUCAUGAGGUCAGGGGCCCUCCGGUCGAGAUCCCCCGCGGAGAGGCUAUUCCAGGCGGCGAGGUCUCCUCUCGCGGCACCGCGCAUCCGCAGGUAAUGCCCAAACCCCUGAACCCUUUUGCGUAUUCUUGCCUAUAACUGGUCUUUGCUCGAAGCGAUCCCGGAAGCCUGAAAAUGGGAUGCCUUUUGCUGAUCCUGCCUGUCUCAGGCCCGUCGUGGCGGCGGCGCUGGCGAGUCUCGAUUCGCUCAUGCCGCUGCACAGCGCUGUGGCGGCCGCGCGGCUGCGGUCCUGCAUCGCCGCCGACUCGGCAUGCUGGAGCUGCCUCUCCGAAGGUGGUUCAUUUUGUGUCCUUCUCUUUGCGUUAUAUGAUUGGUUGAAGGCUGUGGUGGUUGGUUAUAUUUCCGCUGCUUGUUCUUACAUUCUGUGUUCUCUGGUGAUGAAAUGUCCUGCUUUGUUGGUGUGAGAAUUGUGAUGUGUUGCAUUUCUUAUCAAACUCGUCAACUCAUGAGGUUAGGUUAUUGCAUUCUUAUUCCAAAAAUUAUUUUAUAUUUAGUUAGGAAUGCAAAAGUCUAAGAUCUUUGUUGAUCUAGUCAUCUAUACUGAACAUGGUAGAUCAAGUCAUUGGAUUUACAGUACCAAUCUGUUGAACUUGUUAGUUUCAAGAACACUGCAGUGCUUGUUGGCAGUAAAUUAGAAAGUUAGUAUAACCAUUUCUGUCUAGUGUCCAUGAUUUCAAUACAUAAACUCAAGGCAACAGGCAUAGUAUUUAUCUGCAUGUAGGGAAAUCAAGAAUGGAGACUCGCCGUGAAAGGCUAAAAGCCUUUGCCUGACUGAAUGUACUCAUGGCCCUGUUUUUUUCUCAGCCUCUGCAUGUUUCUUUCCUCCUAUCUAUUUGUGGCAUCAUAAAUUCUAAAAGGGCCGUUAAAAAAUUGAAGGGUUUCAAAGCUAUGCAGAAAAUCCAAGCUUUGAUGAAACUAAAGUUGGACAUUUACAGAUUGUUGUCAAAGAUAGUAUCAAAUGACCACAACUAAUAUUUUGGAGUACAUCAAUCGUCAAGUAAUUAUCUUAUAUUUAUCAAAAUCCAUUUUUCAUAACUAAUUUGAUAAUCAUUCUGUUAGGUUUGAUCAAGCGCAUCUGAUCAUGGCUAGGGACGCAAUGUGAAAGAGAAUGGCUCACAUGCUACUGCGUCAUGACAUAAUUUGCAAUAUCUCUCCGUUCUUCUGUAAGGACUAGCGCGUGUCAGCUUGUCUUAGAUAAUUUUCUUAAAGGAAAUUGUAGCAGAAAAAAAGAACUGCAUACAGCCAUGGGAACUUUUGACUUCUGUUUAAGUUUGGCUUUAUCAUUGUAUGAAGUAACAGAACACUCUGAUCAUUCUGGAGAUUGCGGAAGGGUUAUUUUCUAAUUUUGUUGGAACUGGCAAGUGCAUUGAUGACUGUGUUUAAUAUUUGUAGUUGGGAAAUUAUGCAAAGCACCAAACUUAAUUGUCUAUCAGAUCAUGACUGUGUUUAAUAUUUGUAGUUGGGAAAUUAUGCAAAGCACCAAACUUAAUUGUCUAUCAGAUCAUGAACUGAGACCCAUUUUGCAUUCAAAUAAUUGAACCAAAACCACGAAAUAUACUGUGGGGGGUAGAGAUCAUUUUCUGUUUUCUUUGAGUUGUAGUUUGCUAUGUCUAGACUCAGUUUGUUUGGUGACCGUAUCAAGAUGCUUAUUGUAUUGAGGUUUAGAUUGCUUGUCCAUCGCUACCAUAAUAGCAGAUACUAAAUUUUUGACUUCACACACUGUUUGGCAUUUAGUUAUGAGUUGCAUAUUUUACAGUAGCACACAUAUCUUUUUCGAGUCCUGUGAUUUCCUUUGCAUGUUUCUGAUUUUCACAAAAUUCCUACUUCUUUGCACCUUUUCUGAUGGAGCUCUGUUGUUUUGUUUCGAAACGAUGCACUAGACUUUGCUCUCCCUCGGUAAUGAAGGCUGAAGAAGGUGACCAAUUCCAAACAGCGUUGUCUAGCUCUUAUCCAUCUAGUUUCUUUGUUUCUGUACCAUUGCUGGACCAAAUGAGAGUCCAUUAAUUCAGUGAGAGUCAUAGAAAAACGUAUCUGGAAGUACAUUGGUUUCACUUGUGGUUUCUGUUAUUGACGUGCUUUUGGUGAUGAAACGUAUCUGGAAGUACAUGCUUGGUUCUUGUCGAUUGAAAAUUUGUUGUGGUUGGUGCUUUCUUCAAUCUCUAAUAUAUCUUAGACAGAUAAAGAAACUGUUGGGAGCAUGUUCAUGGUCAUCAUUUUACCGAGCAAUCAAAUGAACUGUUAGAUAAAUAACAAUGGAUUCGAUCCUGACAAAAGGGGGCCCUGAAGUUGGAUGGGUGGCACAUGCAGAACUAUUUAAAAUACUCCCUCCGUUCCAAAUUGUACGUCGUUUUGGUAAAUUUAGAUAUAAAAAUUUUGCUAUGUAUCUAGAUAUACACUAUGUCUAGGUGCAUAAUAAAAAUUAUAUAUUUAGAUUUGCCAAAACGACUUAUAUAUUAUAGUUUAGACGCUACAUCUUAUAUGAGCUACCGAAUCAUGUCACCUCCUUCUGACGACGACGAAUAUGAAAAGGUUUCUCCGUGCGGUUUCUUGGAAUAACCACGGAGUAUGCUCCUGACCUGGGCGAGCUGGUCAGAAGAAAGCUUGCUGCAUGUGGGCAUGGCGAGAGCAUCCCUCGCCAUCCGAGCAACCAUCGGGUACUCCGAGCUGUGAGCCUUCCACCACUUGAGAACGUCAAAAUCCUUUGUUGCAGGGGCAAGAGGAUCUUCUUGCAGAUAGCGAUCGAGUUCCGUCUGGGUUCCUGGGUUACGGCUGUUAGACUGAGCCGCCGCCAUGACAUCCUCUGAACGGCAGUGAUCAUUCCAUUCUUGGUCCCAUGGGUCAGCGCUACUUGUGUCCGACAUCGGAUUUGCACUAUCUGACUGAUCUGCACCAUACUCUUCAAUGUAAGCAGCAUACAUGUUAUUGAUCUUUGUCGUCACCUCGGAGACGAAUUUUGCUGCUUCUGAACCAAAGGCUUUUUCGAAACGGAAUCGAAUGUACCUGAGUUUGUACCGGGGGUCCAGUGCAAGUGGUACUGACCAGAUCAGGUACGAAUCUUGUAUAGCCUCGUCUAGAAUGUUACUUGCCCUUAUAAGAACAUCUACGACAUUUUUGCCACGAUAUAAAUUAUUACCAUUUAUUUCUUGAAGCUCUGCGUUGUCUCCCCUAACCCGUGCUAGUUCAGAAUGCAAGAUUUCCCUCGUCUUAAGCAGCUCUGCAAGACACAGAUUCGAAGUGGGAGAGGUGGAGGCAGAAAUUCUCUGAAUGCCGCUGUAUACUUGCUCCCAGACCUUGCACAAUAGUUGUACACGUGGGUCUUCGACUACAAGCUGAACAGCAAAGCCUGGCUUGCUUAGAACCUGCAAAGAACAGUAGCACGCACACCACCUUUCGCCGAAUGCCCAUUCCAAGUCGAGGUCAAGCUCCGAAAGAAGUUGCAGGCGCUCUUGUCUAGUCAAAUUUAAACGGAUCAUGUUCCAGGAAAUAAUGUCCCUAGUGAAAUGUGGAGCUGGAAGAAAGCAUCGAGCAAUCGAGUGAAGCACAGCGUCCACGUAGGUGGCAGUGGUACGACUUAGCUUACUGGCAUAAGAAUUUAUGUCUUGGUCGAUGUAAUCCUUCAGUUCAGGGUGAAAAUCGCAGUCAGUAAUAUCAUAUGCCACCAUGGACAGCCUAUCCUCAUGCUCUGAAAUAACAAUCUCGGCGACAUCAACAGGAUCACCAAACACAGAUGAGGCUCCCGAUAUUGGACCUUCCGAGUCUGCAUCGUCCAUGAAAGCAUCCAGGACGACUUUAUGAAGAUUCCACUGAUCGUCGAUGAAGUGGCAUGCUAUAUAGGUGACUUCCCCUGCCUCGGGUGUUUUAGCUUUACCCACUGCCAAACUGACCCUCCCGGGAGCGCGCCUUAUCCUGGAGAAGGAAUGCCUCCUUGCUUCAUCAAAGAUCCCAUCGCACAUCUCCUCAAUGGCGACGCGCGAGGGCACCUCAAAUUCAGGGUUCAGGCGGCGGACGAAGCUCCUGAAGUAGCCGUCCUCCACGAACGACGGAUCGUACCCGUGCAGCGCGAUCAUCCGAGCAAGGUCCGCACCACUUGCACUCUUGUCUCGGAGGCCAUCAGUCUCCCGAUGACCCCGGGAUGAUGAUCCACGGGAGCGUGACGGGGAAGAAGCGCCGGGUACCGGCGGCCGUGGUGCCCGCCGCGCAGCGGCGGCGGCUUCUUCUCCCCAGCAAAUCCUGACGUGCGUCCACAGGGUGCUGGUGCCGUUCCUGGUGCUCGCGCCGAGCACCAGCUGGCAGCGCGUGCACCGCGCCCUGUCGUUCCCGUCGCCGUCGCUGAAACGGGUGAAGUGCUCGUACACGCCGGACCGCCGCCGGGCCACCCUGCGCGGCCUUCGCCCCGGCUGCCCCUGAACCUGGGCGCUCUGCUCCUCCUCCGCUUCCAUGUCCUUAGCGGAUCGGAGGCUACGCGAUGAUGGCUUCCCUCGAUCCUCCGCUUCCAACCUCGAAUUCGAAAGGCUACCAGCGGAGGGAGAAGAUACGUAUGCGCGGAAGAAAAUCAAGUCACCAAGCUGCUAGCCAUUGGUUGGAGUAAAGGCGGAGAAUUGAAGGGGAACCACGGCUGGCUAGGCUUGUGCAACUUACAAGCUGAUAUAUCGAGCAGUUCGCGGCGGCGGUGGCGCCGGCGCGUCCGGUGCCCGGAGCAGAGGACGCCGUGCGUCUGGGUGGUGCAGCUAGUCGGAAUUGAAGCCGGCCGAUCACCCGCGCGCACAAGGAUAAGGUCAGGCAGAGUCGAUAAGGAAGGAAUGGAUAGGCGCGGCCGUGCGAGACGUUGACUGACUUCGCCGACGACCCCGAUGGAUGACCACGAGGCGGGCCCGACGGGGCGAGCCACGCCUUUGCAGCUGGUUGCGGGCUGAGCUGGGCUAUUUUUGUCUGUUUUCGUUCGUGGGCUGAAAUAGUUGUCUUCGGUCCCAGGGGACACCGCGGUGCGGUUAUACAUCACUUCAGAUGAUGAACAUACUAACACUGGUUAAAUCAAACUGGAUAGAAUAGUAUUCCGAGAAAUCCCCCUUAUUAGAGAAAAUCAUGCAUAUAUACAUGCAGAUGAAGAUAAAGUUGAUGACAUCACCUGCAUGCUAAGAGGUUUCAAAUUUAAAAAAUCAUAACUCUUAAACUGCACAUUCAAUUUAAUUUUUGAUUGCACUACUCUAUAAUUUGCGAUAAAAUCUUCAAAAUAAGAUCACACUUGAACAUGUUUCAAAAAAUUUUACAAAAAAUUAUUUAUCACGUUGAAAAAAUAUUUAAGCAAAAGGAACAAAUAAUGAAUUUCCCCAAACAAAAUAAUAGUAUAUAUUAUUAACAAAAUAAUAGUAUAGUAUGAGCAAAAAAGAAAAAACACUACGAGCAUGUAACCGUAUUUGAUAAAUAUUAGAAAUUGAUCAUCAGAAUGACAUAUACUAUUAUAUAUAAUAAAUAAAUAAUUUAAUAUCGUAAUAAAGAUAGUCUAAGCCGAUGGUUGCACCAUCGAACAAAUAAUUAUACAUGGAGAACAAAUCUAUUCACAUCAUGAACAAAUUAUUUUUUACAUACGAAUAAAAGAUAUCGAUAAUGCGAAUAAAUUAUUUUUACAGACAAACAAUUAUAAAAUUAAAUACAUCCACAUCACAAAUGAAUAUGAUACGUAGCGAACAAAUUUAUCCACAUCACGAACAAAAUUAUAUGUAAUCGGAAUUUUAAUUUCGAUGCAUAUUUUAAGAUUUAUAGGUUUUUUAAUUUGAAACCCUUUGCAUGUGGACGAUGCCAUCAAUUUUUAUCUCCACCUAUAUACAUGCAUCUGGGAGUACUACUUGUGAUAUUACUUUUCCAAUUAAAUUUGUGCAACUGGUGAACUAAAUAUACUAUACGUCUGCUUGUGUUGGGCUAACAGCCCAUUUAAUCACCGUCUUGGGGUGAUGGUUGUUGGUUUUAUCGCCUCUAGCUAUAUAUAAUCGCACCCUCCGGCGUCGUCAUUAGCUCACCAUGGUGUUUGCAUCCUUAGUCUACUUAUAUAUUAGACUAUUCAAUAUGGUUUACGUACUCGCGGUGAUUAGAUGUAGCCUGCCAAUAUUUCAUAAUAGCUACGUACAAGCUCCUAUAUUUGUGCCGUUGAGACCUCUCGCGCAGAACGGUAGAAUCGUGAUAGCGGUAGGACAGUCGUUCCGGGCAUUCCGGGCGGGAUGCGUACUCAAGAGCACACGCAGACAAGUAGUUUUGGUGCCGCAAGAGCUGCGACUUUCUGGACUCCAUUGAACAAUUAUGGACGUACCAUUACAUAAUAAAGAGUACAUAGGAGGGGCGGGCACACGACGUCAGGUGAAUCACUCCCGCUCUGCACGUAUUCGUGCCCGAGCUUAUUGGUAAAUAAAUGGUACUCCCUCCGUUCCAAAAUGAAUGCAGUUUGUUUUGAUUUUUUAGAUUCAUAAUAUUUGCUAUGCACCCAGAUAUGAUAACAUAUAUCUAGAUGCAUAGUAAAAUAUAUUAAUAUAAAAAAAACUAAAACGACCUAUAUUUUGAAACAAAGAGAGUAGCAAUAAAGACGCGCUCGUCUCAAACAAACUGAUGAAAACAGGAGCUUGAAUAAAAUGCAGAAAUAAUCCAACACUUAUAUGAGCUACUAUAUUAAAUCAUGUCACCUCCUUCUGCUGACGACGAAGAUGAAAAGGUUGUAUCUCCGUACGGUUUCUUGGAAUAACCACGAAGUAUGCUCCUGAACUGGGCGAGCUGGUCAGAAGAAAGCUUGCUGCAUGUGGGCAUGGCGAGAGCAUCCCUCGCCAUCCGAGCAACCAUCGGGUACUCCGAGCUGUGAGCCCUCCACCACUUGAGAAUGUCAAAAUCCUUUGUUGGAUGUUCAGGACGAUCUUGCAGAUAGCGAUCGAGUUCCGUCUGGGUUUCUGGGUUACGGCUGUCAACCUGAGUCACCGUGAAAUCCUGUGAAAGGCAGUGCUCAUUCCAUGCUUGCUCCAAUGGAUCUGCUCUAGUAGUGGCCAUUGUCGCAUUGGCACCAUCUGAAUGAUCUGCAUCAGUGCUUGUACGAUACUCUUUAAUGUAAUCUGCAUACAUCUUGCUGAUCGUAUUGGUCACCUCGGUGACGUAUUUUGCGGCUUCUGAACCAAACGCUCUUUCGAAACAGAAUUCAAUGUACUUGACUUUGUACCUGGGGUCCAGUGCAAGUGGUACUGACCAGAUCAGGUACGAAUCUUGUAUAGCACUGUCCAAAGCGUCACUCGCCUCUCUAAGAACAUCUACGGCGAUGUUAUUAAAAAACCAAUCAUAUUGUAUUUGAACCUCUUCGUCUUCUCCAUUGAGCCGGGCUAGUUCAGGCUGCAAAAUUUCCCUCAGCUUGAACAACUCUGCAAGACACAGAUUCGAAGUGGGAGAGGUGGAGGCAGAAAUUCUCUGAAUGCCGCGGUAUACUUGCUCCCAGACCUUGCACAAUAGUUGCUCACAUGGCUCUGUGCCUUCAAGCUGAUCAGUAAAGCCUCGCUUGCGAAGAACCUGCAAAGAACAGUAGCACGCACACCAGCUCUCGUCGAAUGCCCAUUCUAAGUCGAGGUCAAGCUCCGAAAGAAGUUGCAGGCGCUCUUGUCUAGUCAAAUUUAAACUGAUCAUGUUCCAGGAAAUGUGGCUAGUGAAAUGUGGAGCUGGAAGAAAGCAUCGAGCAAUCGAGUGAAGCACAGCGUCCACGUAGGUGGCAGUGGUACAACUUAGCUUAUUGGCAUCAGAAUUUAUGUCUUGGUCGAUGUAAUCCUCCAGUUCAGGGUGAAAAUCGUCGUCAGUAAUAUCAUAUGCCACCAUGGACAGCCUAUGCACAUGCUCUGAAAUAACAAGCUCGGCGACAUCAACAAGAUCAUCAACCACAAAGACUCCCAAUAUUGGACCAUCCAUGGCAUGAUUCUCUGCAUCGACCAUGACAUUCAGGACGACUUUAUGAAGAUUCCACUGAUCAUCGAUGAAAUGGCAUGCUACAUAAAUGACUUUCCCUGCCUCGAUGGUUUUAGAUUUACCCACUGCCAAACUGACCCUCCCAGGAGCGCGCCUUAUCCUGGAGAAGGAAUGCCUCCUUGCUUCAUCAAAGAUCCCAUCGCACAUCUCCUCAAUGGCGACGCGCGAGGGCACCUCAAAUUCAGGGUUCAGGCGGCGGACGAAGCUCCUGAAGUAGCCGUCCUCCACGAACGACGGAUCGUACCCGUGCAGCGCGAUCAUCCGAGCAAGGUCUGCACUACUUGCACUAUCAGUCUCCCGGCGACCCCGGGAUCCACGGGAGCGUGACGGGGAAGCGCCGGGUACCGGCGGCCGUGGCGCCCGCCGCGCAGCGGCGGCGGCUUCUUCUCCCCAGCAAAUCCUGACGUGCGUCCACAGGGUGCUGGUGCCGUUCCUGGUGCUCGCGCCGAGCACCAGCUGGCAGCGCCUGCACCGCGCCCUGUCGUUCCCGUCGCCGUCGCUGAAACGGGUGAAGUGCUCGUACACGCCGGACCGCCGCCGGGCCACCCUGCGCGGCCUUCGCCCCGGCUGCCCCUGAACCUGGGCGCUCUGGUCCUCCUCCGCUUCCAUGUCCUUAGCGGAGGCUAUGGCUUCCCGCGACUCGACCUCGAAACGCUACUAGCGGAGAAGAUGCAUACGGCGGACGGGAUUAAUUUACCAGGCUAGGCAUGGGGAUGAAGGCGAAGAAAGGAAAUCACGGCUAGGUCUGGGAACUUACAAGGUGGCCGAUCGAUGAGCUAGAGCCGCAGCUUUCCCGCGGCUGCGGCGGCGCGGAGGCCGGCGGCGUGCGUCUGGACGUCUGGUGGUGCGGCCGGCAACACAAGGUUUGGUAGAGACGUAGAGUCGAUCGGAAGGAAUCGUAGGCGCUGGCAAGCCGGAGAGUUUGACCGGCUUUGCCGACGACCACGAGGGCGGGGCGAGCGACGACUUUGCAGGUUGCGGGCUGAGCUGGGCUAUUUCUGGGUCCUCUGUUUUUCGUUCGUGGGCCGACGUAGUUGUUUUGGGCCAUCACGGCCUUCCAACGCACGAAACCACUAAGCCCUUUCUGCUGCGGCGCCAGCCACCUCCGCCGCCGUGAACAUGAGCCGGGCAGGGCAAAUCAGAGGACCGGUUUGACCUUCGAUCCAAUGAAUGAUCGCGGUGGAUCGGAGCAGCGGGUCAGCUACAGCUAUGAUCUGCUCAGAGGAAAGCUAGCUUGCUCUGCAUGUGGGCAUGGCCGCAGCAUCCUUGCCAACCGAUCCUUCGUCUGCUAGUUCCAGCUAGCUGCUGCGUCCUUCCACCACUUCAGAACGUCAAGAUCGUGUGCUGAACGGGCGGCAGCAACGGUCGAGUUCUGUCCGGGCUUCUGUUUGGCGAUGCACAUCCCAUGCUUGGUGCUGUAACUGUAAUGCAUCAGCGACGCUGCCAAGCACGACCAUCGCAGAGAACACCACCACCACCAUGUCCAACAUAGUCCGUGUAAAUCUCGUCCAUCUUACCUCAUCAUCAGAAAUGGAAGCAGCAGCUUGGCAGCCAAAAGCUCUUUGGAAACAUCCCAAAAACUUGUUGGAGGCCAUUAUUGCUCCACAAGUCCAAACAUAUAUUGCAAACAUUCAUGUAACGAACUUUUAUUUUUUUAUGAAAAAGACUGCAGAGCACUGCGCUAUCAUUUAAAUAGAGGCGAGUUUAAAAUUUUCUAACAAAUAGUUAUUACAUACAAGAUAGAAGGUCACACAACAGAAUGCAGGAAAGCGACGACAUAGAUAAACUAAAAAUGCUCAUGGCCUCCACUUGCCCUCUUGCGCAGCAAGAUUUCCUCCUUUAUCUCGUACUCCACCUGAAUAGCAUGCAUCCAUGGACUUCCCUUCAAAGACGCGCCGGUUUCUCUCUUUCCAAAUAUCCCAAACCGUAUACAUGAGGAGCGCAGCCUUUCACUCUUCUUGUUGUCUUAGGCAAGUGCCGAAGUGACGCUUCAAUUCCCACCAUCAGUCUUGCACCUCUGAAUGCUGAUCCGGCAUCUGAACAAUCCCUUCUGGCCAAGCACUUAAGGCCAUUACUUUAAACAUGCGAACCGCUUCCUGAGUCCGGAACUUUGUGGGUUAAGGUGGCGAUGAGGGUGCUCACUAGCAGGAACAUGAGCAGGUAGGAGAGGUGCCUUGCAUGGAGAGUGAGCGCCACAGUUCUCACCGUUGUGGCCAUCAUGAGGUAGAGGCCAAGGACAAUGGUGAAGAAGAAGAAGAAACCAAUGGUGAGUUCAUUUGGCCCUCCCAUGUAGCGUGCAAAGAUCAAGCUGACGAGGCCACCAAAGUUCACAAUGCCAGCCGACAAAUUGAAGAUGCCGUCAAGAUCUUGAUCAGUUUCUUGGUUGUUGGCAGUGUUGUUCACGGCUGGAACAGCUUCAUCUUCGGUGUCGGCAUUCAGAUGACCAGUUUCAAUGUCUCUGUUGAGAGCUCGAGAAGACCUGUUGAGUUGGAGGAGGGCGAUAACAACGGGGAUCGGCACGGGGAGGAUGGCGUAGCUGUAGCCCUCGUUGAACGAGAUGAGCAGGAGGUACGACACUAGCACCAGAAGGAACCACGAGAGGUAGGUCAAGAGACUGCCCCACUUUGGUGGCCUGGUCAUGCAGACGAGGUCAGCGGGCACUGCGAGGAAGAAGGCUGCCAUGGCGACCUUGAAGGUCGUUUUCGUACUGGAGGCAGACGGAGCAUCCACGUAUGCCAAGAAUGUGGUGAUUGCAAAGGGGAGCGCCUGCUUCGAGUACGCUGCGCAGCGUUUCUGCUGCUCCUCGAUCUGGUCGGCCGGGGUGAAGCGGACGGCGAUGCCCUGCUUGUGUUACAGAAAAGAAAGAUCAGGUACUUGGAUCUACGGAGGAAAAGAAAUUAGCUAGUCGACCCGAGAGUGCAGGGAACAAGAAGAACCUACCUUGCAAGUGUCGGCAGCUAGCGUUGUGAUGGGCUUGAUCUGCUUGACAACAACGCCCGAAGCAGUUUUCCGUCCCCUGCAGACCGUGGCAUGCCUCCGCAGGGUGGACGGGCCGUAUUUCCUAGCAUCUGCGGGCAACACCUUCUGGCAGCGCUCGCACCGCGCCCUGUAGUUCCCGUCGUCAUCUCUGAAAUGAGUGAAGCUCUCGAUCUUCCACGCGGCGGACGCGUGCAUCGUGGUGCGUGCCCUUUGCCUUGGCUGCCCCUGCCCUUGUGUGUUCUCCGCGAUCUCCUUUUGCCUUACCAGAGACUACUGCAGGCUGGUUUCCCUCGAUCCCCUUUGUUCUUCCACCCUCGACCUCGAAACACUAGAAGCGUCUAGCGGAGAAGAUACACAUAUACGGGCGGAAGAAAAUCAAGUCACCGUGCUAUCGAUUACCAAUUGGAGUAAAAGGCAUAGAAGGGGGGAUAGGCAACUUACAAGCUGAUCGACCGAGCACGCAGGUAGCGGCGCCGGCCGGCGGCUUGUUGCUCGCGCCUUCGUGGCGGCGGCCGGACGGAGGAGACGACGGAGCAGGGCCGGGGGCGUGCGUCUGAUUGUGCCUGUGCAGCUGCUAGUCGGAAGGGCUAGGAGACGCUGUCAAAGCAGACGUCAGCGGAGACGUUGACUGACUUCUUUGCAGACGACCGCCGAAUACCCGAUGGCCACGAGGCGGGCCUGGUGGGGCCGAGCGACGCCUUUGCCGGUUGCGGGCUGAGCUGGGCUAUUUUUGUCUCCUCUGUUUUCAUUCGUGGGCCGAAGUAUUUGUUUUUUAAAAAAAUUAAAAAAAUAAAUUUGAAAAAGAGGUGCCGAUUUGAAAAAUUUUCAAAAAUAGAUACCUCCCGCCCAUCCAACGGGCGGGAGGUGCCAAAUAAUUUUUCAGACCUCUCCUGAUUGUCUCUUCGCGAAUAAAUUUUUUUUUAUUCGUAAAUAUUCGUGAAGAAACCCCUCCCGUGGUGUCAAAACACUUUGCUUUCCGGGCAGAGCGUCUCGCCGCUCAUCGCUGUCCUCCUGGCCGGUCACUUCUACUGCUGGGUUGUACGAGAACCGAACACCUCGCUGCUCCUACUCCUGACUAGCAGGCUAGCACCACUAGACUCCGAAACUUUCGCUGAUUGAGAUGUCACGUAGUCACUCCCUACCACAGAGCAGUGGUUGCGCUAGGCUUGCUAGCAAGUCCUGCUAGCCAUGCAUAGGCUAUCAGUGUAGGCAUCAUGUAGAUCCAAUGACGUACGGGUGCUAGUGCCACUCUUCCGCUGGCUUCACAGUACGUCGAUCCAAUCGCCCCAGAGCCACCACACGCGUCAACUGAAGCCGUGGAAAGAGAAGAUGCUGUCCUUCCUUGCCCGGUUUCACCGCGUCGUAUGCGCCGUUUUCUUCCGAUUCGCGAUCGAUCCUAUUUCCCCGAUACGUCGGCGAUCGAGCGUUCACUGUGGGCGAGAAAACGACAGCGCCAUGUAACCCAGCAGCAGAAGUGACCGGCCAGGAGGGCAGCGAUGAGCGUCGAGACGCCCCGCCCGGAAAGCAAAGCGUGGGCGUCUGGGCACCUCCCGCCCCAACAGGGCGGGAUGCCGAAGAAAAGUUUCGAGAUCCUUGUGAGGGGUCUAAAAAAAAUUUGGUACCUUCCGUUGGAUGGACGGGAGGUGUUCGGCCUCACGCUUUCCGCCCGUUGAUCGGACGGGAGAUACUUAUUUUUGAAAAUUUUUCAAAUCGACACCUUUUUUCCAAAUUUAACUUUUUUAACCCUUUUUUUAAAAAAAUUCUGUCUUGAGCCGUCCUGGUCCUCCAACCCACGAAGCCAAUUGAGCCCUUUCUCGACCUGGGCAGCCGCGCCGAGAAAGUAUCCCGACGCAAGCUUCUUCGUGCACGCGCCUCCCACGAGCCAAGGGGCCUGCACCGCACGCACCCUCGUUAACUGCUUGAUGAACGAACUGGAUGGGUUUGCACGUGAUUAUGGAGUGAGGCGGCUGCAAUCAGCCAUUGUCAUCACCGACCAUUCCUGCUUCUGCUGCCUGAAUAAUGCAUCGAGGUCAGAUCACAAAGCAUUAAAAAUCCAUGUUUUUGCCCCCUCCAGAUCGAACUUGUCCUCUCAAAUCGUGAUCUAUGGACGAUACGGCCAUUGAUAAAUAGCACUGAUCGCCUGUCCUCCAUUCUUCAGGCCUGCCUCCCUUGUGCGUUCUUUCUGCUAUAAAAGCGACAAGCACCGAGAAAAAAGAGGAGAAUAUGAUCCACCAUCCAUGGUGCAGAGGGUCGUCGUCAGGCACGGCUCCGCAGCUGCGGGCGAUGAUGGCGAGGGAGGCCAAGAGGAGGCGGCGGCGGCGCGGCGACGCGAUCAAGAUGCAGAUGCUGCGCUGCAGCGACCAGGGCCGCCGCCGCUUCAAGCGCGGCUACCUCGCAAGCGGCUGCGGCGGCGACCGGGGCGACGCCGCGGACUCGGCCGUCUUCUGCCUCGCCGUCUGCACCGCCGCUCGGCCCUCCUCGAUCGCGUCCGGAGUCAUGAGGUAGUACGUAACUAGCUAGCUAUAGAUGGAUGGCAACGGAUAAUAUCCUUGCGGAUAUUAACUUUGUAUAUCCGUAUCCGCGUACUAAAAUCCGUACCCGCACCCGCGCCCGCAACCCGCCACGGGCACGAAACCACGCCCGUAACCGCUAUCCGCGGAUAUCCGCGUACCCGCGGGCACGCCCGUACCCGCAAACUUUAGAAAAUCAAGCACAUAUUAUAUUUCAACAGCAAGUAAACACUAUUUAUUUUACGAGAUAAAUAAAUCUAGGCAAAUAAAUAAACUGGUCUCAUAUAUGAAUACAUGAUACAUCACACAUUAACAGAAACAAUCAUAUGCAACCAUACAAGAGUCCGUGUUCAAAACCAUUAUUACAUAAAAGUCCAAUUGAGCAAAUAUUAGAAAUCAUUAGUCGGAAUCAACAGUGCUGAUGCAAGAAUCCUUCAUAUCUUCUUGAAUAUCUUCAAGACAUGACCAGAAGCUAUUGACCCUCCCAUCACCGUCAUCUACAAACAAGUUUCAUAUAUAUUAGUAGAUACAAUUUACAGGUCUUAUAUUAAAAAUACAUUCUAGAGUACUACCUUUAAGAGUAUGACGAAGCCAACUUUGACCACAUAUCAAAGCCUCCAACAUUUUAAGAGUAAGACGACUGCGAUGCUCACUCAAAAUCCUUCCACUAGUGCUAAAAGCUGAUUCCGAAGCUACUGUUGUGAUUGGAAUAGCUAAGAUGUCACGAGCAAUUUGCCUCAAAAUGGGAUACCGAGUCCUCUCCAACUUCCACCAACUAAGGAUAUCAAAAUAUUCAUUCUCAUCAUGAGGAAGAGUUUCUUCAUCCAAAUAGCGAUCUAGCUCAUUCUUACUUCUAACAAAGCUAGUAAUCUUCUUAUUGGCAGCAAGGAUUUUAAAAAUAGACAACACACCAGCUGCAUCAACUGAAAAACUAGCACCACUAGAUGAUGUACUAACAAACUCUUGUUCCUUAACAUGGUAUUGUUUCAUCAAAUCAGAUAGCAAUUCAUGGGCCUCUGUCACAUAAAUUUCAGCAUGUUCUUCACCAAAAAGGGCAAUAUAGCAAGCAUGUAACAUUAUCAUCUUAAGACGUGGAUCAAGAAUGACAGCAACAGCCAUAAGACCAUGUAUAUCAGUCCAAUACUUAUCAUACUUUUCUAUCAUGGCAGCAGACAUUUUUCUAAUUGUUUCAUAUUCAUCAUGCUCCCAAGAUUUGAUCUUAAGUUUAAUCUCACAUACUUUAGGGAAGAAAAGGUUGGCUGUCACAUAUUUAGUCCCAGAAAAUAACUCAGUAAGGUCAUAGAAUAAUUCUAAUUUCUCACAAACUAUACUAGCAAAUAUCCAAUCAUUUGGUGGUGGACAAACAUAGUUCCUAUCAAGCUCAUCCAAGCGUUCAAAAAUCUUUCUAUAGGGUAUAGCAAUUCUAAGCAUGACAUAGGUUGAGUUCCAUCUAGUUUUGCAAUCUAGUUGCAACUUCUUGACCAAUUCAACAUUUUCAUCUAAAGCUAUUUUCUCAAACUUUUCAUACCUCUUUGGUGUAGCAACCCAAUAAGCAAUACUGUCUCGGAUGUUUGAAACGGCACUUCCAAUGACGUCCAUGCCAUCUUUGACGAUGAGGUUGAGAAUAUGUGCGCAGCACCGCAUAUGCAGCCAUUUACCCCUCAAAAGCAUAUUAGCUGCACCAAGCCUUUGAAAGCAUUUAGACCCCUAAAUUGUGUUUUGGUAAUUAAUGAUAACUAUAAGUGGACUAACUGCUUCAUUGAGAUUUAUGAGUGUAGGAUGGUUCAUAAAUGAAUAGUUGAAAAGGAGCGAAUGGCGCAAGGAUCUAAGAAGAGACUCAAAACGGAUAGCUCGAAGCAAAGGUAUAACAUAGGAAUUUUAUUUUUGCCGGUCCAAAGAAGAGUAUAGAAGAAUUCGACCGGGUUUUUAGGCUAGAUAGCCGUACUAUUAAGAGGGGCUGAUGUUAGUUUGCUUGAAAAUUUGCUAAGUGCCUUAUGAUCGAGUCUUUGCAUUGCGUACCUUGAGAAACAGAGCACAUGAGAGAAAAGGUGCACACAUAGCUUGGUUUUCGGCACUUCACGUCUGAACCGGACUGUCCGGUUCUUUACAUCGGACAGUCCGGCACCCCCGGACAGUCCGGUCCAUUACACCGGACAGUCCGGUCCAUUACAUCGGACAGUCCGGUUUUCCUCCAACUUCUGGACAGAAAGUUUCGUCAAAUCGGACUGUCCGAUCCUGUAUGGCGGACUGUUCGGUUUGGCUGUAACGGCUAUGUGGCAGAACCAACCUGAAUUAUACCGGCUCAAGUACGCGAGUCCUCACUGAAGGGCUACCUCGUACUUCAAACGGUAUAAAACUAUUGGUCUGUCGGGUAACGUCCCGAUAAACCACCGAACGCAGGAUCCAACAAGGUACCUCACACGAAGGUGAGUCCAGAGAUAUAAUGCCAAAAUAAUUUACACCACAGGCAGUUAUAUUACAAGGAUAUAUAAAGUAACAUUAGCUCCCACUAAGGAGAGAUUAUUACAAAACAAGUUCAGGUUUCUAGUCAAAGCAGCGGAGUUUGAAAAGCGUAGUCAUUAUACACGUCGUCAUUACAGAUAUUAUGCUAGCCUUGGCAUAAUAUCACUCGGCGGAAUCUGUGUUGGCCGGGGACGGAUCCCAUUCCACGGACCAACCAUCAGGCAAGGGGUAGGGCCACGGUGUAAUGAACGCUGGCUCAUCAGAAGAAUUUCCUGGAGUAAAUCAACAAAAGCAAGGCUGAGUAUACUAAUACUCAGCAAGACUUACCCGGAAUUGGGUAUAUCUUAGCCCAUAACUAGACUCAUGAUGGCUUUUAGCUUUGGGUAGGGUUUUUAGCUGAAAACCAACAAAGAGUAGAUCCUUAUUUUCAACUUUUAGCUUUCAGGUUCUAGUUGAUUAACCAUUCUAGGUAAGCACCUAUAACUACUCAAGUAUGGUAGAAUCUUUAUUCAAACAUCAUCUUGAAUAAUCACAUAAUUGCUCUUGUUACUCUAUGUGAUAAAGGGGAUAAGCAGUCUCAUACAUCGUGAGAGGCGGACGAUUCUGAAUCGAGAUUCAACCCUUGCAAGGUAAACCUAACUCACACGCUUGGAACACCACAGGGUUGUUCCGAAGCAACCGUUUGCCUUUCAUUCCGACUCGUGGAUCAGUGCCACCACAAGCGACUGCAGGUCAUACGCACUUCCAAAGUGCAGGACGUACGUCUGUAGCGCGACUACAAAACCCGUACUCCUGGUUGCCCAGCAACACGUAUGCCUACACGUCGAACAAAGUAACCAAAAGAAGCAAAUACAUGUGGUGGGUGGUAUGUCCACUCCUCGGGCCGAUCGGUUACUAGGCUUACCGCUUACCAUAUUUCACGGCAUGUGGCUAGUACUUUCAAACGCUUAACCACCGCUACCACACACUGCGACCUUAACAAAUUCAUCAACACAGACGGGGUAUCAUCUUGACCAUGAUACCUCAUAAAACUCCCGUCCGGCAUCCUUAUAGUGAUAGCAGGAAUGUAAACAUUACAAUUCCUAAAUCGCGCGAGUGACAGGAAAUCACUCGACUUGUACCGGUCCUAUAAGCAGAGCAGCUAGUCGGACUCAAGUUCUAGUGUUCAAUACAUUGGUUCCUAGAAUAAUGCAACUAAGUUUCCAAACAACUCCUAGAACGUAAUGCAUAAAGAGAUAUAUAAAUAAUAGCAUAGGUUACAGUGUAAUAAAGUAGGGGUUAUGUCCGGGGCUUGCCUUCGCUGGUAGGGUUAGGGUUAGUCAAACUAUUUUCUUCCGAACCUUGGUUCGGGGCUUCAGAGAAAUCCGCGACGAGAUUCCCGGGGUCUUCAGAAUAAACUUCUUCUUGUUCCGGGAUCAGCUGAUAAUCCCCGUCAGCGAGAGUGGUCGAGUCUAUAUGAAAUGCAAAAAUUACAAGUUAUGGAAUACUUUUACUUUUAUUUUACUUCCCGAUAAAGUUGCAAUCCAAAAUAAUUAACAUGUCAUUUUGAUAAAUUUCCUAACUACCCAGUACUGGGCAGUCAUUUAUCGAGUAUUAAUUAGUUCACUUAGAUACAUUAAACAGUAAACCUAAUUACGUUAAGUAUCUAUCUAGUGGCAUGAGGCAACAGGUGGGGUGGUUCCUAACAUUUAUAUUAAAGGCUUUAUAUAAUGACUAUACUAAUUACUUAUAUGAACUUGAGUUACCAUUACAUUAUAAAUCAACUAUAUUAUAUCUAAAUUAUUUAAUACCUAACCCUUGGUUGGAAACUUAAUAACAUGUUACAAUAUUACAAAACAGAACCUUAAUCUAUUUUCAUGAUUUUUGAACAUUUAAAAUUGUAUUUAUUAAUUAUACUAAAGAAACUACUCCUUAUUUCUAAUAAAACUUAUACCAUAAGAAAAUAAUACUACCAUACCAUGAUGAUUAUUUUUCUUCAAUUCUAUAUGUUAAAAGAGAAUUAUCAUCACUAGUUUUACUAUUUUAUCAUUUUUCUAUGAAUUACUAUGCAUUUCCAAAGCCUACAAGCAACUAGAUUUAAUAUUUAAAUUAGAUCACCAAGCAUACAGAAACUGAAGUUGAUUCUUUAAGUAAAGUUGUAGAUCUUUAUCUGAGGAUUCCAACAAAAUUUAGUUUGCAAUUUUAUGAGUUUUCCUCGAGGAGAUAUAGUAUUUCUAAGUUGGCAGCAAUAUUUACAUAAGGAGGUCCCUCGGUACUAUUCAUCUGAGUCUACUCCUUUGCACAAAACCCCCUCGACUUCUAUUCCUUCUAACCCGAAGUCCUUGGCCGUGAACCCGAACAGAGCAAGUUGGAGGCGACCGUGUUCCGGCGACGGCGGUCACCGGCGGCGAGGUCCAAGUGCAGGGAUAGGGUCAGGAGCUUACGGUGAUCCCGUUGCUCCACUUGUCGAGGGCUGGGACGGCCGGAAAGAGGGAUCCCGAUGAGGACCCGAGGCGGCGGCGGAGGGGUCGACGGCGACGAGGGUGCUCCGGCUAUGAACGUUGGCCAAGAUCCUGCGCACGAGAACCGGUGAGUCCCGGGGAACGUGUACGUGCAAUUAAUUGAAUGAAAACACGCUGGAUCAAGGGGAAUCGACGGAGACCGAUGCGGCGGCGGCGAGGAAGAACACCGGCGAGCGUCGGGAAGGCUCUGUGGUGCACUAGGGAACCAAUGGAUGGGUCGAACAGCUUCAGGACGAUGAUGUGGUGCUGGCCAGAGAGUCGUGGUGGCGUGAGAGUACCCGGAGCGAGCUGCCCACGGUGGAGGCCGAAAGCGGCGGCGGCGGCGGCGCUCGUCGGGGACAAGGCUUCAGUGGAAAUUGGGGAAAAUCAGUGGGUCGUCGAGCACGAGCAAGACACGGGAAAGCUGGUGCGGGUGUUGGUUGGGGCGGAGGAGGUCCGGUGUGGGCUGCCCACGGGCGUGCCGUGCGCGGCCGGAGUGGAACGGGACGGCGGCGGCGGAAUGCAGCUCGGGCGCUCGAAAUUGGGCUCUCGGAGUAACAGAAUAGGCCGUGUGUGUUGAAGUAAUGUUGCUGCGCACGAGAGAGAGUGAGUUAAGGCACCAGGAUGGCCUGUCCACGGUGACCAGGAGGUGGCGGCCGGCGAGGGCCUCGGGUUGCCGUGGCGCGCGCGCGUGAGGCCAGGAAGGGAGGGGAGCAGAAGUGGAGAAGGCAAGGAGCGACGCGUGGAAGAGAAAUCCAGCAGGAGGUGGUGCUCGGGAAGCUGUGCCGGCGGUGGGCGGCGGCGACAGGAGCAGAGCAGAAGGGGGAAGCGGCGGGGUCAGAGGAAGACGAAGCAGGGAGGUGUCAGGGGAUCUAUUUGCAAUUCUCAAAAAGUUCAGGGACCCCACUGUAAACUAAAAUUUUUCUACUGCUACAAAGGUCAAAUGAAAAAGUGCUCAACAUGAAAGUUGUAGAGUUUUUCAAACUCUACAAUAUUACUUUAAGGCUUGGGUUUAAAAUCUUAAAGGGUACGGUUUUAUUUUGAAUUUUUGAACACAAUUCAAAUUAUAAACUUUAUGUGUUAAUUAAAAUAAAAUGCCCUAAUGUUUGGGGUCUUUUUGUAAGUUCUUCUGCAGUAAUCAUGACUAGCUCUUUUUACACUUUAGUCCUUAGGUAAAACUAAGUUUUACUUUUAUCUUUUACCCUUUCACAUGUAAAUCCUUAUAUUUUUGUAUUAAUUACAUAAAGGUCCUUAAUUUCAUAUAAAGUCUAUUCCCCUUAAGUUUAUUUAACUUUUGCUCUUUUCUUUUCUAUAGCCAUCUGAAAUUUGACACUUAAGAACAUUUUCACACACUUGCACAUAAGAAUUUAUAAAACUCAUGAUUUACAAAUACACCCCUAUUCCUUUAUACAAACCUUAACAUACAUACAACACACUAAUACCUAGUGUCCAGAUUCUAAUUACAGGAAUGUUACAGCCUUCCCCCCUUAAAAAGAAUCUCGUCCCGAGAUUCCGAAGUUGAGUAGAACAGAAUGAUUAGAUUUGGGGAUUGGCUUGAAGGAAGUCUGGAAAAUUCCGUUGAAGAUAAGACUCAGUUUCCCAAGUCGCUUCUUCUUCGGUGUGAUGAUCCCAUAAGAUCUUGUACAUCUUAACUACCCUUCUUCUGGUGAAUCUUUCCUUAGUAUCCAGAAUUCGAAGAGGUUGCUCGAUGUACGAUAAAUCGGAUUCAAUCUCAAUGGCACAUGUCUCAACGAUUUCCGUGGGUACUUUGACACACUUCUUAAGUUGAGAGACAUGGAAGACAUCGUGAAUAGCAGCCAAUUGAGACGGAAGACGAAGUUUGUAAGCCACUGGGCCACAAACAUUUAAAAUUUCGAAGGGUCCGACAUAUCGAGGUGCUAACUUCCCCUUUAUGCCAAAACGUUGGACACCUUUAGUUGGAGACACUCGGAGAUAGACAAAAUCUCCUAUUUGAAAUUGUAGAGGUUUUCUCCUCUUAUCUGCAUAACUCUUUUGUCUGGACUGAGCGGUUUUAAGAUUAGAUUGAAUAAUCUUAACCUUAUCUUCGGCUUCAACGACUAGGUCUGGUCCGAAAAUCUUGCGUUCACCGGUCUCUGACCAACUCAAAGGAGUUCGACAUCUGCGACCAUAUAACGCUUCGAAAGGAGCCAUUUGAAGACUAGCUUGAUAACUGUUGUUGUAAGCAAAUUCAGCUAGAGCAAGGCACUUGUCCCAGCUUGCACCAUAGUGAAUAAUACAAGCUCGGAGCAUGUCUUCAAGGAUUUGGUUAACUCGCUCAGUCUGCCCAUCAGUCUGGGGAUGAUAUGCAGAGCUUCGAAUCAAUUUGGUUCCUAGGGCUGAUUGUAACUACUCCCAGAACCGUGCGAUAAAUUGGGGCCCUCGAUCAGAGAUGAUGGUUUUUGGAACCCCAUGCAAUCGAACGAUUUGUUCCAGAUAGACCUCGGCAUACUUCUUAGCAGAGUAAGUGGUAUGCACCGGAAGAAAAUGAGCUGUUUUUAUGAGUCUAUCUAUGAUCACCCAUAUGGAGUCAUGUUUUUAAGAUGUGUUGGGAAGACCGACAAUGAAAUCCAUGCUAAUGUCUUCCCAUUUCCAUGACGGAAUGGGUAAUGGCUGAAGCGUACCAGAGGCUUUUAAAUGGCUAGCUUUAACUCUCUGGCACGUAUCACACUCGGAUACAUAUUUGGCAAUUUCUCUCUUCAUUCUGGUCCACCAAAAAUAUUGCCGAAGAUCUUGAUACAUCUUGGUGCUACCAGGAUGAAUAGAGAAUUUGGACAAAUGUGCUUCGUCAAGGAUUUGCUUACGAAGUUGAUGAUCCUUAGGCACAACAAUCCGAUCGUUGAACCAUAGGACUCCUUGAUGAUCAGUGUGAAAACACCGAUAUUUAGCUUCUCCCUGGGAUAGCUUGGAUUUGAUAAUUUUGACACCCUCAUCACGUAGCUGCGACAUGAUGAUUUUAUCCCGCAGAGUAGACUCAACGGAAAUCAAGUUUAAACCACCUUGGGGAAUAAUCUCAAGAUUGAGUCUCCUCAUUUGAUGGCAAAGAGUGUCAUUUAAGGUGGAUAUGGUUAAGCAAUGACAAUGUGACUUGCGGCUAAGUGCAUCCGCAACCACAUUAGCUUUGCCCGGAUGAUAGUGUACCUCAAGGUCAUAAUCUUUGAUUAACUCCAACCAACGCCUUUGCCUCAUAUUUAGAUCAGCUUGAGUGAAAAUAUACUUGAGGCUCUUAUGGUCAGUGUAAAUGUUACACUUAGCACCCAUAAGAUGAUGUCUCCAGAUCUUGAGAGCAUGAAUAACUGCUGCCAAUUCAAGAUCAUGUGUUGGAUAAUUUUGCUCAUGAGUCCGAAGUGCGCGGGAUGCAUAAGCAAUAACCCGGUUGUUUUGCAUAAGAACACAACCAAGGCCAGUUCCAGAAGCGUCACAAUAGACAUCAAAAGGCUGGGUACUAUCUGGCUGAGCUAGUACUGGAGCAGUCGUUAGAAGUUUUCUCAAGGUGUGAAAUGCUUCCUCACACUUAUCAUCCCAACGGAACUUAACUUCUUUCUUGAGUAGCUCAGUCAUAGGUUUAGCUAUCUUGGAGAAGUCUGGAAUGAAUCGGCGAUAAUAUCCUGCCAAUCCAAGAAAACUUCAGAUUUGAUGGACUGAAGUGGGAGGGUUCCAGUCCAUAACUUCUUGAACUUUAGUUGGAUCAACUGAUAUGCCUUGACUGGAGAUAGUAUGUCCCAAAAAUUUCACACUAUCCAGCCAGAAUUCACAUUUCGAGAAUUUGGCAUAAAGGCGAUGAUCACGUAGUCGUUGAAGAACGACACGUAAAUGAUUAGCAUGGUCUUCUUUGGUUCUGGAGUAUAUCAUAAUAUCAUCGAUGAAGACCACACGAAUUUAUCGAGUUCCGGCAUAAAUACGGAAUUCAUGAGAUACAUGAAAUAUGCCGGUGCAUUUGUAAGUCCAAAUGACAUAACCAGAUAUUCAUAAAGUCCAUAUCUGGUUGAGAAGGCCGUUUUUGGAAUGUCACUAGGCCUGAUCUUGAUCUGAUGAUAACCGGAGCGUAAAUCAAUCUUAGAAAAGACCUUUGCUCCAGCUAGUUGAUCGAAUAAGAUAUCAAUGCGGGGAAGAGGAUACUUAUUUUUGAUAGUAACCGCAUUGAGUGGACGGUAGUCGACACAUAGUCUCAGGCUAUCGUCUUUCUUCUUAACAAAGAGAGCAGAACAACCCCAAGGUGAAGCACUGGGGCGUAUAUAACCCUUAUCAAGAAGAUCUUGGAGCUGAAUUUUCAGUUCUGCUAAUUCGUUUGGAGGCAUGCGAUACGGCCUCUUGGAAAUUGGAGCAGUGCCCGGUUGAAGUUCAAUGAUGAACUCGAUGUCUCUAUCUGGGGGCAUUCCAGGCAAAUCGUCUGGAAAGACAUCGGGAAAUUCACAUACUAUCGGAAUAUCUUUGACUUUGAUAUCUGUGAUAGCAUAUGCGCAAGGGUGUAGAUAUUCUGGCGGAGGCAGAACAAGAGUAAUGGCUCCACAAUAUGGUGAAUCAAUUUCGAUAACUCGGGAAGAUAUAUCUAACUGGACUCGAUGUUCAGUCAUCCAGUUUGUCCCAAGUAUGACAUCGAUACCCUCUAAACUGAGUAAAACCAAAUCAGUUUUGAUCUCUUUACUACCUAACUGAAUUGGCACAUAUCUACUUAUUCGGUUGGAAGUAAUAUUUCCUCCAGGGGUAGUGAUCAUAUAUGACCCCUGGAUAGGACAAGAUUCAAGUCCUAGUCGGGUACCACAGUUGUUACUAAUAAAGCUAUGGGUUGCUCCGAAAUCAAAUAAAGUAACAACUGGUUUAUGGUAGAUAGAAAAUGUACCCGACAUGACGGGAGCUCCAUCUGAAAGUUCUGCAAGAGUGGUGAAGUUAAUUCGUCCUUGCCGGACUUGCAUCACUGGCUUCUUGCCCUUACUCUGGUUUCCCUGGGUGGAGCUCUGCCCUUGAUUAGGUUUCUUAGGCCGCGGGCAAUCUCGAAUGAAAUGGUCCGCACUUCCGCAAUUGUAGCAGCGAUAGUUGCUGCCUUUCUGUGGCACUUGCUGAAUAUUUGGCCGUUGGCCAGAUUGUUGUGCUUGUUGCGGGGGCGCAGGAGGUCUGUACCUUCCUUGCUGCUGAGGCGGCCUAAAAACCAAUCUACCCGUUGGAGCAUUGCGCUGUGGUGCUCUGGGCGGCGUAUUGGAAACAACCCGAUACCUCGGUGGUUGAGCACUCGAGGGUCCAGCAGGGUUCUUCCGCUUCUUCUCAGCAUACUGCGCCACAAUGCAGUCUUCUUGAGUUAAGGCCAUAUUGACCAACUCACUAAAAGUAUUAGCCCUCACAAGGUUCAGGCGUUCCUUGAGUUUGGUGUUCAGGCCCCGACGGAAGCGGUCUUGUUUCUUGGUAUCAUUAUCUGCAUGAUACCCUGCAUACUGGCACAGAUGAUUGAAAUUCUGUGCGUACUGCAGAACCGUAUUGGCACCUUGAGUAAGAGCCAGGAACUCAUUAAGUUUUCGUUCCAACAGUCCUGCGGGAAUAUAAUGCGCUCGAAAGGCGACCCGGAAUUCAUCCCAUGUGAUGAUAUGCCCUGCAGGUUGCAUGGCAUAGAAAUUGUUCCACCAUAUUCUAGCAGCACCACGAAGUUGUUGAGCAGCAAAGGAAGCCUUGCUAGAAUCCGCACAAGGUAUGGUCAGGAGAGCGAACUUCGAUUCAAUGAUGUGGAGCCAGGCAUCGGCAUCCAAUGGUUCCUCGGCCUUACUGAAGAAAGGCGGUUGAGUACUGAGGAAAUCUUGGUAACUAGCCACAGGAGGAUUACGAUCAUCCCGGCCUCCUCGGAAUUGAUGCUGCUGAUUCUGCUGUGCUUGAACCAGCAAAUUAAGCAAUUCCGUUUGCCGAGCCAUGACUUCGGCAAGGUUGGGAGGAGGUGGUGGCGGUUGCUGAGAACCGCUGGCCUGAUCAGCCCGGAAACCCUCCGGGGUUCCCCGUGUAGCUCCAACCAUCUGAAAUAAAGGAGAUGUCCAUUAUUAACCAUAUAUCCUUACUCCCAAUUUAAGAAGACAUAAACAAUGCAUAUAUUCCGCACAAUCAUCUCAUCUCAGAAUUAAAGAUAAUGAACAAGAUGAUAAAACCGGAAAUUAUAUUACAUUGCUGACUCAGAUAGUUCCCACUUCGCAUGUCGAAAGUUCACUACAUAGGCCAUCUAUAUUACAUCAAAUGGCGCGAGGUUUGACUACUUAAACUAUUACAUUCCCUUAGAUUACAUCUCGAAAGUCGACGAUUUACUAAAAAUCGUCGAAAUUUCCUACAGAAGACUGACUGCCAGAAAGAGAGUGAUGGGGACUAAUAACAGGGUCCCCAUGCUCAGAGUCAAUUUCUGAAAUACCCUCAAUCUCCUCUGGGUCUUCUUCUUCUUCUUCUUCAGGUACUAUGGGUAUAGCGGGGAGUAUGGGUUGCUGCUGCAAUUCUUCAAUAUGAGCCUGGGCAUCAUCCGCUUCGAGUAUCAGAUCAUGAAUUUGCUCUUGUAGAAAUUCUAUAACAGCGUCACGUUGAGUGAUAAGAUGAUCACUCUCAUUGAUCUGAUCUUCGCGAUGAAGAAUUGUUUCAUCUCUUGCUGCAAUAAUUUCAUCCUUUUGUGUUACCAAAGCUUGUAACUAUUCUAUUUGGGUUACUUGGUGGUCAGCAUUCCGAUAGUGGCUUUGAGCCACACCAGUUAUCUGACUUACCCCAUGACGCAGUAGCAUUUGAUAAUGAUAUUGCACGUCCAUGAACCUGGUAACGAUACGGACGGUUUCUUCAGCCAGAUCUCCUAGCAGAUGACCAUGAUGGUCUAUCCGAAAAUCCCAGUCCGAAUUACCCGGGUCUAUGGUAGGAAAUAACCCAAUAGGAUAUGCGGCAACUUCAAUAGGAUGUUGAUUGCAGAAGAGUUUGAUAGCUUCUAAAGCAGCAGUUUCAAGAGUAUCCACUAGACGAUAUCCAACCACUUCCACUUCUAUGGGAGGCCAUAAGGAGCGGAAAGGGUGUUGAGGAAUUAUCAUCUUAACCCUGCAGCGGGAAACUCCUUUUUCAAGAUACUCUACCCCAUCAUACAGAGGAGGCUCUGUAUAAUGAAACAUACUCAAGGAUUCCCACAAAAGACGAGGAAACCCUUACCAAUGUAAACCAUUGGUAUGAAAGUGCCCCUCCUGAUCCCAAAAGGUACUAGUAGGAGCAGCCAUCUGCGACAACAAUGCAAAUGGUAAGAUAUUUUUACCCUGUUGAGAAAGUUUACAAGGUAAAGUGGAUUAGGAUAGCUAAUUCUGAUAACAGCAAAGGCUGGAAAUCAGAUGGAUGCCUAAGAUACCCAACUAAAAAUUCCUACUUACCCAAAUUAAGGAAUACCAACAUGUUGCCUAUUUCUUAGAAAGCAUCAAUUUAAGCAUUCAAUUUAGUUGAUUAAUGGAUUAUGCAUGCACGUACUAACCGAUCUCACAAACAAAAAUUAACUGCCAAGUAAUCUUGGUCUUACGUGGUUAGUUACGGUGGCACAAUAUAAAUACGUCUCUCACUAUUAACUAGUCGAUAAAUCCUAUCCGUCCUAGUUUCGGAAUCGUGGUUAGUGUACCUGCAGAAAACCACAAUGCAUAUAUAUAUCCAAUGAACCUUUCAUGCCAGCAUGUCAUGAAAGCGUCCCCAUUCAUUACUGCUCACUAUAGAAAUAGCAUCUGUACAAUUACCGCCGUACAGACAACGUUAACAUACGUUAUUGGAUAACGUAUUCACGGGGGUACCGCAAAAAUGCGGGGGUAUGAACAGCGAUCGCCAUACCCUGCGCCGAACCAUAUACUCCCAAUGUGAUCAAUCGAAAUUGAUACAUUGGCAGCAUCUCAAGUAGGCCACUGCUUGAGAAACAGCGUUCGGUUCGCAUCACCGACAGGAAGGCCAAGCUCCCUCAGUUGGCUGAGGAUUCUUACCUUCUUACCUCCCGAUCGAAGAUGUCGUUACAUAAUGUAAAGUUGAAUUGUGCACAAAAUUAAGUUUCAACUGAAAAGUAAUGCUGGAAGUUAGUCAUAUAUAUACAUAUUACAGCCACCUUUAAUUCCCAUAAUAACAUUACCCUAGGGCUUAUGUACUAUACAUAAUCCUUAACGAAUCAACGUAUUUCACAAAUACUUGAUUAAUGAAAUUUUAUACUAAAAAUUACUUUUUAAGGCUAAUUAUAUCUCCAGGGUACAAUUGUUAGCUCUGAUACCAGCUGUGGCAGAACCAACCUGAAUUAUACCGGCUCAAGUACGCGAGUCCUCACUGAAGGGCUACCUCGUACUUCAAACAGUAUAAAACUAUUGGUCUGUCGGGUAACGUCCCGAUAAACCACCGAACGCAGGAUCCAACAAGGUACCUCACACGAAGGUGAGUCCAGAGAUAUAAUGCCAAAAUAAUUUACACCACAGGCAGUUAUAUUACAAGGAUAUAUAAAGUAACAUUAGCUCCCACUAAGGAGAGAUUAUUACAAAACAAGUUCAGGUUUCUAGUCAAAGCAGCGGAGUUUGAAAAGCGUAGUCAUUAUACACGUCGUCAUUACAGAUAUUAUGCUAGCCCUGGCAUAAUAUCACUCGGCGGAAUCUGUGUUGGCCGGGGACGGAUCCCAUUCCACGGACCAACCAUCAGGCAAGGGGUAGGGCCACGGUGUAAUGAACGCUGGCUCAUUAGAAGAAUUUCCUGGAGUAAAUCAACAAAAGCAAGGCUGAGUAUACUAAUACUCAGCAAGACUUACCCGGAAUUGGGUAUAUCUUAGCCCAUAACUAGACUCAUGAUGGCUUUUAGCUUUGGGUAGGGUUUUCAGCUGAAAAGCAACAAAGAGUAGAUCCUUAUUUUCAACUUUUAGCUUUCAAGUUCUAGUUGAUUAACCAUUCUAGGUAAGCACCUAUAACUACUCAAGCAUGGUAGAAUCUUUAUUCAAACAUCAUCUUGAAUAAUCACAUAAUUGCUCUUGUUACUCUAUGUGAUAAAGGGGAUAAGAAGUCUCAUACAUCGUGAGAGGCGGACGAUUCUGAAUCGAGAUUCAACCCUUGCAAGGUAAACCUAACUCACACGCUUGGAACACCACAGGGUUGUUCCGAAGCAACCGUUUGCCUUUCAUUCCGACUCGUGGAUCAGUGCCACCACAAGCGACUGCAGGUCAUACGCACUUCCAAAGUGCAGGACGUACGUCUGUAGCGCGACUACAAAACCCGUACUCCUGGUUGCCCAGCAACACGUAUACCUACACGUCGAACAAAGUAACCAAAAGAAGCAAAUACAUGUGGUGGGUGGUAUGUCCACUCCUCGGGCCGAUCGGUUACUAGGCUUACCGCUUACCAUAUUUCACGGCAUGUGGCUAGUACUUUCAAACGCUUAACCACCGCUACCACACACUGCGACCUUAACAAAUUCAUCAACACAGACGGGGUAUCAUCUUGACCAUGAUACCUCAUAAAACUCCCGUCCGGCAUCCUUAUAGUGAUAGCAGGAAUGUAAACAUUACAAUUCCUAAAUCGCGCGAGUGACAGGAAAUCACUCGACUUGUACCGGUCCUAUAAGCAGAGCAGCUAGUCGGACUCAAGUUCUAGUGUUCAAUACAUUGGUUCCUAGAAUAAUGCAACUAAGUUUCCAAACAACUCCUAGAACGUAAUGCAUAAAGAGAUAUAUAAAUAAUAGCAUAGGUUACAGUGUAAUAAAGUAGGGGUUAUUUCCGGGGCUUGCCUUCGCUGGUAGGGUUAGGGUUAGUCAAACUAUUUUCUUCCGAACCUUGGUUCGGGGCUUCAGAGAAAUCCGCGACGAGAUUCCCGGGGUCUUCAGAAUAAACUUCUUCUUGUUCCGGGAUCAGCUGAUAAUCCCCGUCAGCGAGAGUGGUCGAGUCUAUAUGAAAUGCAAAAAUUACAAGUUAUGGAAUACUUUUACUUUUAUUUUACUUCCCGAUAAAGUUGCAAUCCAAAAUAAUUAACAUGUCAUUUUGAUAAAUUUCCUAACUACCCAGUACUGGGCAGUCAUUUAUCGAGUAUUAAUUAGUUCACUUAGAUACAUUAAACAGUAAACCUAAUUACGUUAAGUAUCUAUCUAGUGGCAUGAGGCAACAGGUGGGGUGGUUCCUAACAUUUAUAUUAAAGGCUUUAUAUAAUGACUAUACUAAUUACUUAUAUGAACUUGAGUUACCAUUACAUUAUAAAUCAACUAUAUUAUAUCUAAAUUAUUUAAUACCUAACCCUUGGUUGGAAACUUAAUAACAUGUUACAAUAUUACAAAACAGAACCUUAAUCUAUUUUCAUGAUUUUUGAACAUUUAAAAUUGUAUUUAUUAAUUAUACUAAAGAAACUACUCCUUAUUUCUAAUAAAACUUAUACCAUAAGAAAAUAAUACUACCAUACCAUGAUGAUUAUUUUUCUUCAAUUCUAUAUGUUAAAAGAGAAUUAUCAUCACUAGUUUUACUAUUUUAUCAUUUUUCUAUGAAUUACUAUGCAUUUCCAAAGCCUACAAGCAACUAGAUUUAAUAUUUAAAUUAGAUCACCAAGCAUACAGAAACUGAAGUUGAUUCUUUAAGUAAAGUUGUAGAUCUUUAUCUGAGGAUUCCAACAAAAUUUAGUUUGCAAUUUUAUGAGUUUUCCUCGAGGAGAUAUAGUAUUUCUAAGUUGGCAGCAAUAUUUACAUAAGGAGGUCCCUCGGUACUAUUCAUCUGAGUCUACUCCUUUGCACAAAACCCCCUGGACUUCUAUUCCUUCUAACCCGAAGUCCUUGGCCGUGAACCCGAACAGAGCAAGUUGGAGGCGACCGUGUUCCGGCGACGGCGGUCACCGGCGGCGAGGUCCAAGUGCAGGGAUAGGGUCAGGAGCUUAUGGUGAUCCCGUUGCUCCACUUGUCGAGGGCUGGGACGGACGGAAAGAGGGAUCCCGAUGAGGACCCGAGGCGGCGGCGGAGGGGUCGACGGCGACGAGGGUGCUCCGGCGAUGAACGUUGGCCAAGAUCCUGCGCACGAGAACCGGUGAGUCCCGGGGAACGUGUACGUGCAAUUAAUUGAAUGAAAACACGCUGGAUCAAGGGGAAUCGACGGAGACCAAUGCGGCGGCGGCGAGGAAGAACGCCGGCGAGCGUCGGGAAGGCUCUGUGGUGCACUAGGGAACCAAUGGAUGGGUCGAACAGCUUCAGGACGAUGAUGUGGUGCUGGCCAGAGAGUCGUGGUGGCGUGAGAGUACCCGGAGCGAGCUGCCCACGGUGGAGGCCGAAAGCGGCGGCGGCGGCGGCGCUCGUCGGGGACAAGGCUUCAGUGGAAAUUGGGGAAAAUCAGUGGGUCGUCGAGCACGAGCAAGACACGGGAAAGCUGGUGCGGGUGUUGGUUGGGGCGGAGGAGGUCCGGUGUGGGCUGCCCACGGGCGUGCCGUGCGCGGCCGGAGUGGAACGGGACGGCGGCGGCGGAAUGCAGCUCGGGCGCUCGAAAUUGGGCUCUCGGAGUAACAGAAUAGGCCGUGUGUGUUGAAGUAAUGUUGCUGCGCGCGAGAGAGAGUGAGUUAAGGCACCAGGAUGGCCUGUCCACGGUGACCAGGAGGUGGCGGCCGGCGAGGGCCUCGGGUUGCCGUGGCGCGCGCGCGUGAGGCCAGGAAGGGAGGGGAGCAGAAGUGGAGAAGGCAAGGAGCGACGCGUGGAAGAGAAAUCCAGCAGGAGGUGGUGCUCGGGAAGCUGUGCCGGCGGUGGGCGGUGGCGACAGGAGCAGAGCAGAAGGGGGAAGCGGCGGGGUCAGAGGAAGACGAAGCGGGGAGGUGUCAGGGGAUCUAUUUGCAAUUCUCAAAAAGUUCAGGGACCCUACUGUAAACUAAAAUUUUCCUACUGCUACAAAGGUCAAAUGAAAAAGUGCUCAACAUGAAAGUUGUAGAGUUUUUCAAACUCUACAAUAUUGCUUUAAGGCUUGGGUUUAAAAUCUUAAAGGGUACGGUUUUAUUUUGAAUUUUUGAACACAAUUCAAAUUAUAAACUUUAUGUGUUAAUUAAAAUAAAAUGCCCUAAUGUUUGGGGUCUUUUUGUAAGUUCUUCUGCAGUAAUCAUGACUAGCUCUUUUUACACUUUAGUCCUUAGGUAAAACUAAGUUUUACUUUUAUCUUUUACCCUUUCACAUGUAAAUCCUUAUAUUUUUGUAUUAAUUACAUAAAGGUCCUUAAUUUCAUAUAAAGUCUAUUCCCCUUAAGUUUAUUUAACUUUUGCUCUUUUCUUUUCUAUAGCCAUCUGAAAUUUGACACUUAAGAACAUUUUCACACACUUGCACAUAAGAAUUUAUAAAACUCAUGAUUUACAAAUACACCCCUAUUCCUUUAUACAAACCUUAACAUACAUACAACACACUAAUACCUAGUGUCCAGAUUCUAAUUACAGGAAUGUUACAGGCUAGUUCUGACAACGCCGUUUUUGCAAUAGUUGACCGUUGGGGGACAGUGGAGCUGGCAGACACCUGCCAAUGUCGCAGAAUGUCCACCAACUUCUCCAAACGGCUAGUUUGUGUUGGUAGGCUAUAUAUACUCACCCCUUGACUGCAUGAGAGCUCUCUUGGCACUUGAGAAAGACACUAGAACAUACUUGAGCUCUUAUUCACUCAUCUCUCACUCACUAUUGCUUAGUGAUUGCAUUCUUGUGAGUUAGAGAGUGUUUAGUGCAUUGCAUCAAAGAGGUUGAUCAUUGAGGCACUAGUGGGAUUCCAAGCAAGCGUUGUUGGCUUGUUACUCUUGGAGGUUGCCGCCUCCUAGACGGCUUGGAGAUCGUGUGGGCCACCGAGCACUUAAAAGGAGAUUGUGAAGGUGCCAUGGCCAAAUUUGUGAGAGGUUGAGCUCACCUCGCCGGAGCGGUGAAGAGCAUUCUAGUGGAAUCGAGGUUUGGAGAGGUUCUUUGAUCAAUUGGCUUAAGGACUAAGUGAAGACUUGGUAGAGGAGCAAUCGAGUUCAUUGAAUCCACCUCAACGUGGAUUAGGGGUGACCGGCAAGUCAUCGACACCACGGGAUAAAUUCUUGUGUCUUGAGAAUUGGUUCCUACCUUACAAUUCUUUAUCGCAUUUACUCUUGUGCAAGUUUACAUUCCUAGAUUCUAACUUUGCGUGAUCACCCUAGGUUGCAAACCCAAUUUAGCUCGACUUAGGUUAGAAAUUUAAAUAUCUUAUUGUACUAAUUAAAUUUCUCCUAAGUGCUUUGUUUUUAGUUAAAACCGUCUAUUCACCCCCUCUCUAGCCGGUGUCUUUGUUCCUACAGCCUUAUCUCCAUUAAGCCAAUCAUACUAUCAUUGGUGCUGCAAUUGUCAAGAGUCACGGUUGAUACCCUCCGAUCAAUAUCCCAGCUCUGGAGGCACUUGUGCAAUGCAUCACAAAUAACUUCAACGGUAUGGGGGCACGGCACAUACAUAAACCUACACAUAACAAAGCAAUAGUUUAGAUGUAAAGUUCAUAAUGUAUAGAAAUUUGAAAGCUGAACAGCAAGCAACAAUUGCAGAAAAAAGAUAAUCACCUCAAAAUGCAGCUUUUAAGCAUCCACGACUCAUCAAUAAAAUAUCCAGUCACAGCCAUAUAGCCUCUUUUUUAAUUAUCAGCUGUCCAAAGGUCAGUUGUAACAGCAACACGACAAUUGGUCCUUUGCAACAAUAUCCUAUCUUUCCUUUUCUCACCCUCAUAGAAAUGCAUUAUGUCCCUUCUAAUAGUGUUUCUAGUACCCAUUUUAAACAAAGAUUGCAGGGCACUAACAAACUUACGAAAACCAUGGUGGUCAACAAUGGAUAAUGGGUACUCAUGCAAUAUGAUCAUGGAAUAAAGAGCUUUCCUAGCUACUUCUUGAUCAAACAUAUAGUUUUCUACAGUUAUUGCCCCUUUUUCAGUGGUUACAAGCCGCAAAUUACUUUGAAUUUUAUCUCCUACCUUCUUAUUAUUUAAAGGACAAGAUUUCAGAUGGGUUUUCAUAUGGGUUGUACCAUUCCUUGAGACGGCUGAAAAUUUCUUGUCACAAUGAUUGCAUUUGGCCUUCCAUUCUCCAUCAACACAAACUUGGACGAAGUCAUUCCACACUUUAGAAUAAAGUUUCCUCCUUUUACCAGGAGCAGCAGGAGCUUCUUCCUCCCCAUCCGAAAUGUGCACAACAUUAUCUUCUGUUGUAUCAGCCGCAGCCACUACAGCACCUAAUGCUUAGGAACCUGGAACUUGGGAGCUACUAGGAGCACUAGCCAUUGCAACUGUAGAACAAUUAACAUGUUCUUAAGUUAGAUAUCUAGCUAAAAGACCAAGCAUGAAAGGUACAUGAUCUUAAAUUAAAUAGCUCGAGCUAUUUCAGAGUAGCUCACAGCCUCACAUCAAUGAGAAAGGCCUGAUAUGACUAUCCAUAAUAUCAACUAAAAGUUUGCUCUUUGCACAAUAUGUGGAUAUUUAUACUCAGAGUGGCACUAGUAGCCAACCAUAACUAAAUAGCUCGGCAUCUAUCUAAAGAAUAUGUGUCACAAGUACCAAUUGUGCAUCCAGUAAGUCAUUCAUGAAACCAAAGACAAAGAACAGAACAAGGCUAAUUUGAAAUGGUUCUUCCACGCUUGUUCAAUAUACCACAUCAAAAUGCAUAUCACGCGCAUCAUAAAGUACAUCAUGUAAAUAAUGUGGUUCUUAACGCAUCAAGCAAAAACAUCAUAAAUGUCAUGAAGAACAAGGGCCAGAUCUGUUUCUACCAGUAUGGCUCGAGCGUUGGAUGGUGACGGGCGGGCGGCCAGCGGCGGGGCGGAUGGGAACGGGCGGGCGGCGGCGGGGACGGGGGCGGGCGGCCGGCGGCGCGGAUGGGGGCGGGCGGGCGGGCGGGCGCCGCCGGGCGCGGAUGGGGGUGGCAGCUGGGAAGAACUGGGAGGUCGGGGUAGGGACUGGGGAAGUGGGGAGUCGGGGAUGGGAACAAUGAAACCCUAAAAUGUGUAUAUAUAUAAUCACUCGGGGCCCACAUGUCAGCGGGUCUGGCGGGUUUGCGGGUUCGGGUAUUAAUUUUUUAAAUCCGUUACAAACUAUCCGUUGGGUUUAGAUCUGUAACCGCACCUGUACCCGCGGCACAAAUCUAAACCCGUACCCGUGCCCACUGGAUUUAAUAUCCAUGGGUACGCGGGUAUUUCAUAACCGUUGCCAUCCUUAUAGCUAGCUGCCACUGGCAGCAGCUCCAUUGAUCGAUUAGCAUCUUUAGUUAUUUGCGUGUGUUGUGUGUUGCCCCAUGCAGGCGAUCGGACGCAGCGCCAAAGAUUAAAAGAACAAGCAAAAAGAUCGUUGUGUUUUACUCGAAGCGGGUGAUAUUAGUCAUAUUGUUUGUUUUUGUUUAAAUUGGUCCUGGAACUUAAAGUAUCAUUGACUAAGUACCUGGGACAUAUUCAUGUUUUAUUUUAUCCUUUAGUAUAUCUAUUGCAAGAACAAUACAAUUCCACCAUCCAGAAAAUGAAGCAGCACGGAGCAUCUCAAAACAUGGUACACAAGAAUAAAUUAAGGAAACAAUAAAAAUAUUUUGCGAAACAAAUUCAAAAGAUAACAAAAAUAAACCAAAAACAUCAAAUCCAGGCCCGUAUAUUAUGCCCGGGCGAUAGCCAACCGUGGCUUCCGUUAACUUCUAAUGCUGAUUCCUUUCCACAGACCAAAGCCCCACAGCCUCGUUGCUAUCUAGGAUUGGACGGUUUGACCUGGACUGUUCAUCUAUUGGACACGGCCAUGUGCAGGACGCACCGCCCUCACGAAGGGCCGACACCAUGACCUGCCGCGCUGCAGCUGUGACUGGUGAGUUGCUAACUUACAGGUUGUCGCUGACUAUCUGCUGCUAUCUUGCCAUGUUGCCAACUUUUUGAUUGUCACCGAGACGCUGAUUAUAUUUAAUAGAGGUUAAGAAAAUAUUGGUAAGAAAGGUUCGUCAUUUUCUCCUUCAGCUUAUUAGUUGCUUAUGGUAUUUCUUAGCACUGCCAAACACAUGAAGUUAAAUAAUGAAUUUCAUUUAUUUUGAGUAUUUAUAUUUACGAUAUGUAGGGUCCCAUUUGAUAUCUCGCACCAGAGCCUCAAAAAUUUUGGUACGGCCCUGGUCAAAUCUCUAAGGCAACUUUAUUUAAACACUCUAUAGCAAUUUAUUACGAAAAUGCGGGAAGUUAGAAACUUAGAAAUGUUAGCUAAAUCGCUCACCAUACAGGCAUACAUAUAGAAAAGAAAAUUAUAAGGUAAAAAAGUAGCACGUCGGGGAUGAAGGCAAAUUCUUCGUUAAUUCGCCUUCAAAGAUGUCUCGAAGCACUUGGAAAAGCCUGUUGUGCUGUACUAAAGCUGAUUAGUGAUCAUGCAUGUUAAUAAACCGUCUGUUAAUGAAAACAUGCUGUGCUGAAUUUGGAAAAUAUUAAUGACAUGUGGAUCCAUUUCAUCUGGACUAUCUUUCUAAUUUCAUCUCUUCAUUUUCAUUUAUAAUUGAAAAAUAAUUAUAAACUUACCCUAUCUCCUCUAUAAUAUAUACCACUAAGUGAUGGUAUUGUGUAACAUAAAAGAUCUCUCUUUUUUUGGCCUAAUGAUAGGUGGUUCAAACCAAAGAAGUGAAAACCCAAAUACUGUUAUCUCAUACUAAUAUUUUUUCUAAAAAAAAGAACAAAGAGCAUGAGCGCGGGUGUUCUAUUCAGUGGGGCAAGAAAGAAUACAAGGUUCCUUGGGGGCAAAACAGUACAGAAGAAAAUAAAAGGUCAAAAUAAAACGUACGUUUGGUAGGAAACACACAAAUGAAGCCACGGGCGGACCCAAGGCCCGGCGAGCCCGGGCUCCUGCUUAGCGUGUCUGUUACCAGCUUCGUAGAGGUCAGCUGGCAAAGUAAUGCAUGCAGUGGGUCAUUGGCAGCUCAGCUUAAACCAUCCCUUGUGCUUGCAGCCUGCACAAAUCGAGAGAUCAGCAAAACGUUGUACGUUUGAGCGUGUGCAUAGGCUCAAAAGUCUGCCGGCGUACAGCAUCUUGAGCAGCUCCAACAAAUUAAGUUGUAGUUAUAUAUUCAAAUCACUGGAUGGAGCUCCCGUUCUUCAACGGUUUCAGAACAUUAAGACUUGGAAAAUGCAAAUACACCAUGUCCCAUAAGUUUGCACACUCGCUCUCUUCUUUAGAGAUAUACUAUUGGACUUUUGGUGGCAAGUUUACAUACUAAGGCAUAAUUAAUUUUAGUGUCACAGAUUUAUAAUGAGAUGAUUUAAUUAUGUGACACAACCAUCUUAACAUACACACACUCCAUUUCUAGUUAUUGAUAUUAUAGUUCCAAAACUGUGGAGGUUAUUAAGUUUGCUUAGGUUAGUGGAUGAUAUGUUUGUGCUAUGUUGGCCCAGGCUCCCUUAAGUUUCUGGGUCCGCCACUGAAUGAAGCUAUGUUUUAUUGCAAGGUACUAUUAAUUCUAUCCGCCGCCGCAGAAUCGGUAGGCGAUGCAGACGACCACGUGCGAUCCGACCAUGUCCUUGCCGUAGAGUUUCUCGCUCUCCUCCAUGUCGUCCUCGACGCCGCCGCACCCGCGGUACACCAGCGUGUCGUCGCGGCCGGCGUCGAAGUAGCCGAACCACGGGGACGUCAAGAGGGACCCAACGCAGGGGCCAUGCCUGUCGCAAGGAUGAGCAGCAUAGCGAGGAGAGGAUCCCCCUGGUUGGCCAUUCAGCAAGAUUCUGGUUGAAGCUGUUGAAAGAAGUAAUGCAAUCCAAUCCCUCCAACGCUGACCGAAACCCCAGGCUUCUAGAACUUCCAGGACGAAAGGCCAAGCCACUGUGUCAAAUGCCUUAGAUAUAUCCAGCUUGAGCAGGAAUUUCGGUACUUUUCCUUUUCCUCAACAGUAUGGCAAGCCCGUUGCACAUACUUGUAACUAUCCAGGAUUGAUCUGCCCUUGACGAAAGCCGUCUGAUUGCAGCUGAUCAAUUCUUGUAGGUGAGGUGUCAACCACUUGGAAAGGAGUUUGGCUACUAACUUUGCAAAACUGUGAAUGGGACUGAUUAGUCAGUAAUCUUUGGGAGUUUUGGGCACAGGGGUCUUCGGGAGCAGAGUGAGAAGGGCACCAUUGAUGCAACGAAACUGUCUUCUAUCCACCGUGUAGAAAGCGUUUAGUGCAACCAUGAUGUCCCCUUUUAUGACUGACCAGGCUGUCUGGUAGAAGGCCGCAGUGAACCCGUCAGGCCCAGGUGCUUUGUCAGGUUUGAGCUCCUUACCGACCAGAUCUCAUCCUCGGUGAAAGGGAGAUCGAGAGCAGACAGGUUCCGCCGUUCAAUUCCCAAGGCCUGCAAAUCGAGAGUGUGCUGCCGCGAGAACUCAGUGCCGAGGAUGUUACUGAAGUAAGAAUGCAGCAUCUCCGCGCGCCUUGUCAUCCUGGGAGAAAGCAGUGUUGUCUCCCAGUUGCAGACUGACGAUGUGGUUCUUCCUGCGGCGAUAAGUUGCAUGCAGGUGGAAGAAUUUUGCGCUCGCAUCGCCCUCCCUUAGCUGCAGCAUUCUGGAUCUUUUUUUUUUGGAACUUAAUGCAUUCUGGAUCUUUGACGUGCGAUCGUCCUUUCCAACGAAGCCAGGCUGAGACAAAGCAGUUUCAGCUGUUUUCUGAACUCCUAUUCCUCGUCCGACAAAAGGUGUCAACAAAUGGAUUGUCCACAGCCCCCUAAUCGAAAUAAAAUCCAAAAUAGCUCAGUACGUUCCCUCAACAUACAAUAGGUGUGGGUUUUUUUUUUCGAGACGAGGCCAUGACCCCAUUUCCAUUACUUAAAACGGAAAUACAAGCUUGUUCCAGAACCACAAACGAUAACGGAAAAGGAGUCUUUAGCCUAAACGAACUACUUCACUUGCUUCAGGCAAGGUAGUCGCAGAAGGGGGGUACCCCAGGAUUCCCAGACCACAAGCAUAACAGAAAAAACAAGAAAGAGAUUCAGGGGCCGGCGCAUCUUCUUUCUUCACCCGGAUCUGUAUCACUCCUCUUCUUCUUCAUCGUCUCGAUCUUCAGAAGGAGCUGGCAGGAUCUGCAGAGUUGGGCGCGCCUGUCGAGCAAGCACCCUGUGUGCGCAGGCGAGCAUGACCUUGACCCCAUCCAUCAGUUUCACCUGGAAGUCCGAGUUGUACAAACCUGCCCAAUAAGACAUGAGAGCACAAGCGUGAAUGAUAAUCUCAGCAGGGUUCUUGAUGAUUUUCUUGUCAAAACAGGCUUGGUUUCGACAUUUCCAGAUUGCCCAACAAAUAGCAGCAAGACCAAAGAUGUGAACCAUAUCCCCCUCGGGGAGGUUAGAUUUGAUCCAAAUUUUAUACUGUUGUAAGUUUUGCGGAGUGGUUCUGGCCCAAAGCAUUGGCCAACAAUACCCCACACUACCCUCGCAACCGGGCACAAAAAGAAGAGGUGAUCAGUAGUUUCCACCUCGGGACAAAAGUAGCAAGAGGGGUCCCCCACCCAUUUUCGCUUGACCAUAUUUUCUUUGGUCAGAACAGCAUUCAGUUCCAAUAGCCACAGGAAAAUUUUGAUUUUAUAAGGGAUUUUGGCUUUCCAUAUGUAUUUAUAACUUCUGCCCCAUCAGCAUUAGUUAGAUGUUCAUACACCGAUUUAGUUGAAAACAACCCAGAUUUGUUCCAUCUCCACCCAGGAACAUGCCCUACUCCUUCUAGGAAGGAAAAAAACAGUGACGUUCUUGUCUGUGCAUAGAUCAAAUAGGACAGGGGAAAGUUCACAUAUGGCUUUAUCACCAAGCCACCUGUCAUACCAGAAAGCACAAGUUUUCCCAUUUUUCACUUUGAGUUGUCUCCCUGCCAGGUAAAUAUUCUUGACCUUAAGCAGGUCCGCCCAGACAGGGGAAUCAUAGUCUCUGGCUCACAGAGCUGAUGGUGUGUUUCUUCAGAUAUUUUACACCACCAUGUCCUGCCACAGACCACCCUCAAAGUCUAAUUUCCACCACCAUUUGCAUAGCAGACUAAUGUUCAUUUUCCUUAUGUCCUUUACUCCCAGGCCACCUUUUUGUUUGCUUUUACUCACUACCUCCCACCUGACCAGGUGGUAUUUCCUCUUGGUGCCACCCCUUGCCAGAAGAACAUUCUCCUUUGUUUGUCCAGCUCGUUAACAACAGUUUGUGGAAAUAAGUACAUAGACAUAUGAUAGAUAAAGGCACUUGAAAGACUGGAAUUGAUAAGAGUUAGUCUCCCAGCAAUGGACAUUGACCCCACCCCUCCAGACAGCUAGCUUCUUUCUGUUUUUCUCAAUUAAAGGGGCCCAAUCUUUGACAUGUAGUCUACCUGGACUCACAGGUACUCCCAAAUAUUUCAGGGGGACAUGCCUAUCUGACAGUUAAACAAUUCAGAAUAUUGGUCAUGCAACUCAUCAUCCCCUUGCAGCACAAUGACCUCACUCUUGUUAAAGUUUAUUUUAAGUCCAGACAUCAUCUCAUAUAAGUACAGGAGGAGCUUCAUGUUCCUAGCUAUCUCCAUAUCUUCUUUGAGGCAUACGAUAGUAUCAUCAGCGUAUUGUAAUGCCACCACUCCAUAGGGAAUCAGAUUGCUAGCUAGACCUAUCAGCAGCCCAGAUUCUUGAGCUUGCCUAAUCAUCCUAGCUAAACAGUCUGCCACGAAGUUAAACAGCAUGGGGGACAAGGGAUCACCUUGCCUAACUCCUUUGUGGCUCACAAAAUAUGGCCCUACACUGUUAUUCACUUUGAUGCAGACAGUGCCACCUGACACAACUCUUUUUAUCCAUUCACACCAAAUACUGCUAAACCCCCUGAUUUCAAGGUAGGUAAACAAGAAGGCCCGAUUGACUUUAUCAUAUGCCUUUUCAAAAUCCAGUUUCAACACCACCCCUUUCAACUUUCUUCUUUUUGUUUCAUGUAGCACCUCAUGAAGUGCCAGAGCUGUCUUGAGAUGGGUGUGGGUUUGAUGGCAAGAAUUGAAUCACGCCGUUUCGUAUGCAGACCAUAUUUAUAUCUCCCCACCAAAAUAUACUCCUUUUAAAUAUUUAUGAGAGAAACUACCAGCUAUAUUGUGGGUUAAUUUUGAGUGGUAUUAAUACCAACCUAAAUUAUGUACGCCUAAACUUGCGUAUCAAUGAAAAGUUCAGGCUGGCAACUUAUCCGCCGUAUAAUUCUUUAAAUACCUCAUCAUUACACUCGAAAGAUCAAACCUUCCCAGUAAGCAGUAUUGUCAUACUACCAAAGUUACCCCGUGCCGAAUUCUAUAAACUGUGGGCUUGUGGCCGAUGGCACCAGCAAAGCAAGGCACUGCGACGAGCAUGGCGAGCGCCGGUGAUGUCCCGCGCUGCGGCGUCUGCCUCGGCGACGCCGGCGCGAGCUGCGAUGAGGUCACCUUCGUGGCGGAGUGCUCCCACGUGCUGCACUUCCGCUGCAUCAUCGCCGGCCCCGCCGGCACCUGCCCGGUCUGCGCCGCGCGGUGGCGCCAGCCGCUGUUUUUGACGCUCCGCCCCGCGCCGUCGGUCCGGCUCGCGUCGCCGCCGCCACCGGGCGAUGAACCAGCGACGCAGCCGACUCCGCCACCUUCUACCUGAGAAGCCUUCCCCGCCCGGGUCGGAUGGUGCCGUCCUCUUCGGCUCUUUCUCCCAUCCAGGGUUGCUUGUACUUGCCUACUUGGCAGCUUGGUUGACUACAAUCUCGAUGCGUUGUACCGUGUCUAGCAAGUCUAUCAGCAUCGUAUGAUCUAUGCGAUGUGGGUGUGGCAACAAAUUGUCCUGCAGUAACAAUAAAUAAUGACGCUUUCUUGAAUUUUAUUCACCUUUUUAUUUUAGAGUGAAAAGUUUUGUAUUCAUCUUAUACAAAUAAAUACAACUUCCAAGACCCUGUUAAGUACGGUCCCAGUGGCUAGGCCCAUGCGUCAAGCUAGUUCCUACCCGAUCAUGGGCCUGCCUGUCCAUACUUAGUCUCUCGUACGGGCCCAAAACCUCAAGGAACAUGGCAAAGUUACAAAUACAACUUAUUGGUUUGUUUAGAUUUAAAGUCAGUAACCAGAGUUAUUUGGAUGCAUGGUGAAAAAUAACUGUUGAGUUUUGGCAGUGGCUUAUUUAGGUGGCUCCUUGGUGUAGAAAUCAAUGCAUGGGCCUAUAGGAACCAUUUUUUACUAUGUAAGAAGAAAUUCCAGAUGAUGCGUUUAUUGGGCUUUGCUCAUGUGUCAAGCCCAUGGACAGCAAAAUUCAGAUGUCCUAAAAUAAAACGUAGUAUCUUUAAGGGACGCACACCCAAAGAGUCAGUCUAAUUUCGUCAUAAGGGUAGUAAUGGUAGUAUUUGCAUACGUAAUCACCCUGCAAGGCUGCAGCAGACGUCAGGAAACAUUAUAAUUUUUUUAAUGAAACAAAAGUCAAAUAGCGGCACCUUCUUCCACAGUCCUCGCUCGUGACUUCUGACGCCGGCAUGACAUCAAGCUUCACUAAUAGACUUUCAGGAGCAGGCUUAACGGACAACACUCGCAAGAAAGAUUUUUCUUUUCUCUUUUUGAAAAAAGGAUUCUGAUUUCUGCCGACCGCUCCUGUGAUGCACCUAGAACAAGCUGACCGGACCAUCUUCUAGUCUCGCGCGAAUUUCCAAACGCCCGUGCAGAACCUUGACAAACUGGUAGCAGAAGAAAAAGGGAGAGCGCUGGUGCCGCGCGGGCGCGAAGACGAUGGCCGGCCGGCCGGCGGCGGGAUUCGGAACCCGCGGCCGCGGCGGUCUGGCCUUUGGAACCUGACGAGCCCUGACGGGAUCGUGGCGUCGUGCGCGGUGACCAGGUGGGGGCGGCGGCUGCUGCUCUGGCCGCCGGGACUCGUGACCGAAGCAUCUAGAAGCGCCGGGGUGAGGAGGAAUGUGUGGAGCAUAUGCGUCGUGGCAUUCUUGGGAUUAUCUGGAGCCGGGAAUGGCAUAUCCGCCUGUCGCACAUGCUGGUGGUGCCCGGCCCGACGGGGACCCCACGCCCGGCGCGGCAGGAUCCGCCGUGGCCACCACCUGGCGUCGCUGCUGUCACGUGGACUGUCACCGAGUCCGGAAAUGCCCUUGGGCAACCGGCAACGGGUAACGGGGCAAGGGAAGACAGAAGGACACGUGUGCUCUAGCAAAUAUUGGUCAUGGUGAGCCUGCAAAAAUGCAAAUAUUGUUUGUUACUUAAAAAACAAUUCUAGAAUGGCGCGGCAAAAGGAACAAACCGAAGCGUCGCAACGCCACCAAACAGACGAGCUAAACGUUGGGGUGCCACGCACAAAGCGGGCUCGCCGAUUCGACGGCGGCCGGCGCCGGACACCCGCGCCCAAACGUGGUCCUUCGCCGUCGCCGGUCGCCGGUCGCCGUCCGGGCCGGCCGAACACUUCCGCUGGACCACCCUGCUCCGGCCACUUUCCGGCCGCCCCGUCCCGAUCUCCAGCCAACCGGCCACGGCCAUGGGUUGUAGCAGCUCACGCCGGCUCAAGCAGAGCCACCACUAUUCCAUUUCCGUUCUUUUCCCCAGAAAAUAAAAAGAAACUUCUACUACUAUUUCUUUUCUCUCAGUUGGGUUUCCUUUUCUUUUUUGAAAAGAUAAGUUGGGUUUCUUUACUGGCAUUAUUGUUCCCCAAGAAAGGAAGACGAGACAUGCAUUUUCUUCUUCUCCUUCUUCUUGCGCCACGAACCAGGCCGCGCUGUCCGCGCGCCUACCACGAAGCCCCUGUCCCACCGAUGACACGUGGGCCUCUUUGAUAUCCGGGCCUACACGUCAUCGGGACAGCUCACCGGGCCUGCGCCUUCUGGAGAACGGCCGGUCGGACAGGUCACCCCCGCACCUCGUUCCAGAAUUAUUUGCGCCCAUUUGUUUAGAAAUUUCCCCAGGGCACUUUCCAAAGUUGCAUUUCGCUUUCUCCUUUGAUUAAAGAAAAAUAAAUAAAUUUGCCUUUCCUCGCCUCGCUCUUGGCUUUAUAAAAAGGGCGGCCGCUUAGACCCCUCCCCACCUCACCCGAUCCGCUUCUAGACCCUUCCCCUCACCUCGCGGCACCUCCCACCCCGGUCUCGUCGUCCUCGCAGCACCCCUCCGCCAUGGGUAAUUGCUCUCUCCUGCCCCGGAUCUCCUCCGCCUAACUGCUGCUCCCUUCUGCUUCGUGCUCGGAUCUAGCCAAGUUGGUUUUUGCUGACUUUUUAUUUGUUUUUGCUGGUCGGAUUUGCGUAUGCAGGCAAGAUUAGGAUCGGAAUCAACGGUGAGUUGCUACACCUGACGGCUGACUAGAGCUUAGUGCUGGUUUCGUUGAACCUGGAGUGAUCUGAGUGAGUUUUUGUGGGUCUCCGUGUGUGGCUUUGGGCUUCAGGUUUCGGAAGGAUCGGCAGGCUCGUGGCCCGGGUCGCCCUCCAGAGCGCGGAUGUCGAGCUCGUCGCCGUCAACGACCCCUUCAUCACCACCGACUACAUGGUACGCGCCUCGAUCUGUGAGCUUUGCUCGUUGCGGUCAUGCGGUGUGUAGAUCUGGUGGUUUAUGUGGGGUUUUGUGGUGGGUUUAGCGCCGAUUCGUGAGCUAGCGUGCUUCAAGUGGUUAAUAGUUGCUUCAGGAGUUGUUUUGACUCUUAAUUCUUUACUCGGGCUCCACGGAUCUGGGGGGGAUUUGUCGGUCUUGUCGCUUAAUUAUAAUAUUCCAUUUAUCCUGGCAGUGGGUAUGCGCAGCUUGAGAUUUAGUGCUUAGUUUUAGUGCUUCGCUCUGUGUUUAGUCUUGAUAGGGUACUGAAUUGUGAAUUUUGUGUGCUGUGCUCAUGAUUUAUAUGCUUCCCCUGUCUUGUGUAGACCUACAUGUUCAAGUACGACACCGUGCACGGCCACUGGAAGCACAGUGACAUCAAGCUCAAGGACUCCAAGACCCUUCUCUUCGGUGAGAAGCCGGUCACCGUCUUCGGCAUCAGGUAGCCCCCUGUUACAGCUUCAUUCAGAGAUGGGUUAAGCUUUCUGUUCAAGCUGUGAGCUGAUGUUUGAGCUGCCACAAUUUGAAAGGAACCCCGAGGAUAUCCCGUGGGGUGAGGCUGGUGCCGACUAUGUCGUGGAGUCCACCGGUGUCUUCACUGACAAGGAUAAGGCUGCGGCUCACUUGAAGGUAUAGUUGCUGCUUCGUAGUCCUAUGGCUGCUAUAGAAUGUUUGUAGUUUGUUUGUGUAUUAUGUUUAUGUUCUCCCUAUUUUCUGAAUGUAUGCAUUUGGGGGGAUUGUAUACUUGCAAGGGGGACACAUUAACUGAUGGUCCACUUAGUUGGGCUUAAAAAAUGGUGUCUUAAUGUUUAGCAGUAAUUUUUCUUAUUUAUUAACCUGCAAUACGUCUGGCCUGUGCUUAAUGGUAGCUUCUUGGUACCCAAUUGAGUUGAUCAUUUGCUUCUGACAUGCUGUAGUAACCUGAGAUUUGAGUUGAUCAUUUGCUUAAUGGUUAGUCAUACCAGUUUGUAUAAUGUCUAUUAGUUUUUGCUGUUUAAGCAUAGAUACUGGGAGACUUUGAAUGUUUGUAUAAUGUCUAUUAGUUUUUGCUGUUUAAGCAUAGAUACUGGGAGACUAUGAAAUGAUGUAGUUUAGUGUUAUGAUUAGGAUCUAACACAUGUAGUCUAUACUCAAUUGCCUUACUUCUCAAGAAAUUAUUUUGAGCUGUGUGGUUUUCCCUCUUCUAGAUAAGUUUUAAUGCUUUCUCGAAGUUCCAAUUGCCUGUUUCUGAUAGCUGCAUAAUUCCUUUGAAUAAUAGGGUGGUGCCAAGAAGGUUAUUAUCUCUGCUCCAAGCAAAGAUGCACCUAUGUUUGUUGUUGGUGUCAAUGAGGACAAGUACACCUCAGAUGUUAACAUUGUCUCCAAUGCUAGCUGCACCACAAAUUGCCUUGCUCCCCUCGCUAAGGUGUGUUGUUGCAUCUUUGAGCUUUUUUUUAGUUGUUUCUGCUCUUCUGAUGUAGAUUGGUUAUUAAUUAAUGAUGUCUAUUUUCAUAAACCAGGUCAUCAAUGACAACUUUGGUAUCAUUGAGGGUCUGAUGACAACUGUUCAUGCCAUCACUGGUGAGUUCCGUUUGGCUGAUGAGCAAUCUUUUGCACUUGCAUUAUUGGGAAGUACUUGUAGUUGGCUGUAAAAUGACAGCAGUAUACUUCUAUGUCAGCCACCCAGAAGACUGUUGAUGGCCCAUCAGCCAAGGACUGGAGAGGUGGCAGGGCUGCCAGCUUCAACAUCAUUCCCAGCAGCACCGGUGCUGCCAAGGUAUAUGAUAAACUCGCGAUUUUGUAUGCUGAGAGCUAAUAUUUCCUCGUUUUUCCUAUAGUGGCUCGUUUGCAAAAACUGAUUUGACCAACUGGUUUGGCUGACAAUUAUUGAUAGAAACGUGAUAGCUUGCUUUACCGUGUUUUAGGGUUUACUUAGUUUUGUGAGUUAAUUUAUAUACUGUGGUACCAUAUGUAAGCUGAAAUAACAUAGCUAAAUGAGCAUGCGUAAGUGUUAAAAUGACUUCUAUAUCAACGUGUUGCAGGCUGUUGGUAAGGUUCUUCCUGAAUUGAACGGCAAGCUUACUGGUAUGUCCUUCCGUGUUCCCACUGUGGAUGUCUCGGUUGUUGACCUCACCGUUAGAAUUGAGAAGGCUGCUUCAUAUGAGGACAUCAAGAAGGCUAUCAAGUAAGUAGUUUCUUUUUUUUUAAAUUAAUCUCCAUGAAUGUCAUAACAUUUUCAUGUCGGCAUGACCCAAUGCUAUGUUUGAUGUGGGAGCGUGGUUUCCUGGUCCAUGUUUCUUGCGUGGUUUGGGAUCACAAAACACCAUCGACUUAAUUGGUUUGGUUUUACAGGGCUGCGUCUGAGGGGCCUCUCAAGGGUAUCAUGGGUUACACAGAGGAGGAUUUGGUUUCCACCGACUUCACUGGUGACAGCAGGUAUUGAAUUUUGUUUUGGAUCCUCUUUAAGGAUUAUUAUUACACUUCUAGUGCACACUGCUAUGAUGAAGUAUAAUGAUUCUCUGCUGUAUUUCAUCGUCAUUUCAUUGCUUCUACUCAGGUCGAGCAUCUUCGAUGCCAAGGCUGGAAUCGCUCUGAACGAGCACUUCGUCAAGCUUGUCUCCUGGUAUGACAACGAGUGGGGCUACAGCAACCGUGUCGUCGACCUGGUCCGCCACAUGGCCAAGACCCAGUAGAGCGUUUCGGCUUGAUGGUUCCCAUGGUCUUCCUGGUCGUGGACCGGCUAGCUGCUUGUCUAUGCAGAGAAUAAAUGUGCAUGGUGCCCUCCGGACAGGAUUCAUGCUAAGUUGGGACAUGAGUUGCCUUUUGUUUUUCCUAUCUGCCACCUUCCUGUAACGAAGUUGCUAUUAUGGACCUGAGUUUAGUUUUUGCUUGUGAAGAAUACAAACACAGGGGGGUUGUAAUUUUGCUCUAUUGGUCGGUCUGUUGCAUAGAUGAGCUUUUGUGUUUGGUAACGACAGUCUCAUGGUUCGUCCUGCUUCCUGUGUUCUCUGCUGUCUUCUGCAUUCAUCUUGAUCCCUACCCGUUUCUAUCGUGCGUUGCGCCCUCGUCGCAUGCCUGGUGGCAUCUGUACUUGAGGGAUUGCUGGUUGGAAAAGCACCGUGGGAUGUGCUCUUCAUUCCUUUUGGGUUUCUGCUGGUUGUUUUAGGUGGAAGAAUGAGAUGCCUCUUUUAUUUGGUUUCAUUUCAUUUUUGAGUUGCAUUUGGCUGUGUGGUUCUGAUUCCGACAGGCUGAAGUUUUUGAUAGGCAGCGCUGCUGGAAGCACCGUCGCUUCUAGCUUUGGAGAUGUUCCGUGCCUCGUUCCUUCUCACUGGUUCUGUUUUGUUGGGUAAGCCACGUGCCUGUGUGAUUCUGAUUCCAACCCUUGCUGAUGUUGAUCCGUCGCAGAGCGUUGCUUUUAGCUUCGUGCGGUGCAAAAAACUGUUGCCUCGAGAUGUUGAAUCCCUCGUUCGUGUUGCGGUCAUGUAUGUGACAAAGGGUUAUGGAUACCUCCACGGCGACGAAAAAAAGAGAGAGAGAAGCUACCGCGGCGAUGAAAUACAUAUCCAGACACAGCCCACACAGCGAUCGAGGUGAGGUAGGAUCCAUCAUCCAUGGUGCAGAGGCGGCGACGCGAUCGUGGCAAUCAAGAUGCAGUUGCUGCGCUACAGCGACCAGCGACGCCGCCAGUUCGACCGGGGCGACGCUGCGGAAUGCGUUUGGAUGCCCGCCACAUACUGCCACGCGCACGCGUGCAAGAGGUGUUUGGUUUCGAAGGUCUUAUGAUAAGCUCCACCGAUAAAUCUAAUAAUUUUUUAUUCAAACAUGAAAAUUUAUAGAUGAGAUUUAUAUCUAUAAGUGUUGUAAGUCCAUAAGCUCCUCUAAGAGAUAUUUAUAGGUCGCUCUUUCCUCCCACCACCAAAAUAUUCGGAUUAAGGUUAAAAUCCAAGUUAGAUGUUAUAUUAAUCCUAAAUUUAGAUUUUAUAUUUGAAUUGCAACAUUCUAAUAUAAAAGCACACACAAGAUUCGAUUCAAAAUCAAAUAAAAUCCAAAUCACACUAAUAUUUAAAUAAUUCUAACAAAUUAAAUUUAAAUUUUGGAUUUAAUUUAAUUAAUUUGGAAAAUUCAUAAAAGGAUAAUCUUAUAGUGAUCUGGAUGGAGUAAUUACAAACGCGGCACGGAAAAUUUUUGAAACCCAUAUUUUUACAUAAAAUAAUAUUAUAGAAAAAUCUAAGAUAUUACACAGCAGAUCUGAAUCAUAUCUUCUUCAUCCUCCUCUUAAGUCUUCGACUUCAAUCUUGAAAGAAUCGACGUUUUAAGAAAUAUACAUCACCGAAUGCUGCCUCGGAAUAACCACGAAGGAUGCUCCUGACGUGGGGAUUUGGUUCGAAGAAAGCGCACUGCAUGUAGGCAUGGCCAAAGCGUCCCUCGCCAUCCAAGCCACUGUCCACGAAUGAUCCAGGUGCCAUCACUAGAGCACUUGUCGAACAGAUUCCGGAGAGGCUCGGCCAUGAGGGCGCGGGGGAACGUCCCCUCGCCGUGGACCUUCUUGUGUUCAAGCCGGUGGACCGCCUCCAGGCAGACGAUGCAGGCGACGAGAGCAAAGAUUCCUACACGCCAGACACCAACACAACUCCGUAUGAGAGUCAAUCCGAUCGUCAGUCGUAUCCUAGUAAAUCCAUACGCGUAUACUAGAAAAUAUGCUCGCCGUUGCUACGUGAAAUCAUAUAAAAAUAUAAUAUUAUAUACCAUGUGUAUUCUAUAUAAUAAUACGGUACGUGUCAGUUGAGAACUUUAAUCUUAUUCUAUUUUAUAAAAACAUAAGUCAAAAGGCAGCACCUUCUCUUUCAUUAAGAGGAAGAAGAAACAGUAACUACUGCAACACAGAGUCGUGGAUCAGAGGUCCAAAAGCUCUAAAAUGAAGCCCAAGCACAGAGAACAAUUGACGACUGAGAAAUCUACCCGGGGUGGCAGGAAAGGGAGCGAUCGAACUGACGCCGGCAUGACAUCAAGCUUCACUAAUAGGCUUUCAGGAGCAGGCUUAACGGAAAACACUCGCAAGAAAUGCACCCGAGACACCCAUUGACAGCGAGAUCUACCCUGUGAUGCACCUAGAGCAACAAGCUGACCGCACCAUCUUUUUCUUCACCCUUUCGUUCUUGACACGCCUUCUAAACGCCCGUGCAGAACCUCGACAAACCGGUAGCAGAAGAAAAAGGAGAGCAAGCAUCGUGGUGGUGCCGGGCGGGCGCGAAGGCGACGGCCGGCGGCGCCGGCAGGAUUCGGAACCCGCGGCCGUGGCGGCCUGGCCUUUGGAACCUGACGAGCCCCGACGCCGACGUGUUGCAAACUCGGGGUCGUGGCGUGGCGUCGUGCGCGGUGACCAGGUCUGGACCCAUGGGCCGCACCCAUCGGAUGUGGAACCCGUGGGCGCCCGCACCCGUAGCCCAUGGGUCCGGCUGCCAUCCCUAGUCGCUCUCGGCUUUAUAAGGGCGGCCGCUCCUCAGGCCCCCCAUCUAACCAUAUCCGCCGUCUCCUCGUCAUCGCGGCAUCAGAUCCCAUCCUCGUCUUCGCGGCACCCUUCGCCAUGGGUAGUUGCUCUCUCCUGCCCCGGAUCUCCCUGCUGCUCCAUUUACGAUCUAGCCAGGAGGGUUUUGCUGACUUGUUUCCUUCUGCUUUUCGUUUUGCUGGCUGGAUUUGGGGAUGCAGGCAAGAUUAAGAUCGGAAUCAACGGUGAGUUUUUGCGCCGUACUAGUAGUUCGUGCUCGUUUGGUCUGUGUGCGGUUGAAUCUGGACUGAUCUGAGUGGGUUUUUGCUCGUCCACGUCUGUGAUUCGGCUCAGGUUUCGGAAGGAUCGGCAGGCUCGUGGCCCGUGUCGCCCUCCAGAGCGAGGAUGUCGAGCUCGUCGCCGUCAACGACCCCUUCAUCACCACCGACUACAUGGUACGCGCUUUGCUCGUUGCGGUCAGGCCGUGUGUAGAUCUGGUGGUUUAUUUGGGGGGUUUUGUGGUGGGUUCAGCGUCGAUUCGUGGUUAAUCGUUGCUUCCAGAGUUGUUCUGACUCUGAUGCUUUACUUGAGUUCCACGGAUCUGGGGGGAUUUGUUGGGGGUAUGGGUAUGGGCAGCUUGAGAUUUAGUGCUUCGCUCUGAGCUUAGUUUUGUCAUUUGUGGGUAUGCACAGCUUUAGAUUUAGCGGUUCGCUAUGUGUUUAGUCUUGAUAGGGUACUGCGCUGUGAAUUUUGUGUGCUGUGCUCAUGAUUUAUGUGCUUCCCCUGUCCUGUGUAGACCUACAUGUUCAAGUACGACACCGUGCACGGCCACUGGAAGCACAGUGACAUCAAGCUCAAGGACUCCAAGACCCUUCUAUUCGGUGAGAAGCCGGUCACCGUCUUCGGCAUGAGGUAGCCCCCUGUUACUGCUUCAUUCAGAGAUGGGUUAAGCUUUCUGUUCAAGCUGUGAGCUGAUGUUUGAGCUGCCACAAUUUGAAAGGAACCCCGAAGAGAUCCCGUGGGGUGAGGCUGGGGCUGACUAUGUUGUGGAGUCCACCGGUGUCUUCACUGACAAGGAGAAGGCUGCGGCUCACUUGAAGGUAUAAUUGCUGCUUGAUAGUCCUAUGGCUGUUUUAGAAUGUUUGUAGUUCAUUUGUGUAUCAUGUUUAUGUUCUCCCUAUUUUCUGAAUGUAUGCAUUUGUGGCGGAUUGUAUACUUGCAGGGAGGGGGGACAAAUUAACUGAUGGUCCACUUAGUUGGGCUUAACAAUUGGUGUCUUAAAUUUUAGCAGUAAUUUUUCUUAUUUAUUAACUUGGAAUAUGCAUGGCCUGUGCUUAAUGGUAGCUUCUUGGUUCCCAAUGGAGUUGAUCAUUUGCUUCUGACAUGCUUCGUACCAGUUUGUAUAAUGUCUAUUAGUUUUUGUUGUUUUAAGUAUAGAUACUGGGAGACUAUGAAACAAUGUAGUUUAGUGUCAUGAUUACGAUCUAAUACAUGUAGUCUAUACUCGAUCGCUUUACUUCUCAAGAAAUUGCCUGUUUCUGAUAGCUGCAUUUUCCUUUGAAUAAUAGGGUGGUGCCAAGAAGGUUAUUAUCUCUGCUCCAAGCAAAGAUGCACCUAUGUUUGUUGUUGGUGUCAAUGAGGACAAGUACACCUCAGAUAUUAACAUUGUCUCCAAUGCUAGCUGCACCACAAAUUGCCUUGCUCCCCUCGCGAAGGUGUGUUGUUGCAUCUUUUAGCUUCUUUUAGUUGCUUGUGCUCUUCUGGUGUAGAUUGGUUAUUAAUGAUGUCUAUUUCCAUAAACCAGGUCAUCAAUGACAACUUUGGUAUCAUCGAGGGUCUGAUGACAACUGUUCAUGCCAUCACUGGUGAGUUUUGUUUUGCUGUUGAGCAAUAUUUUGUACUAGCAUUAUUGGGAAGGUACUUGUAGUUGGCUGUAAAAUGAUAGCAUGAUACUUCUAUGUCAGCCACCCAGAAGACCGUUGAUGGGCCAUCAGCCAAGGACUGGAGAGGUGGCAGGGCUGCUAGCUUCAACAUCAUUCCCAGCAGCACCGGUGCUGCCAAGGUAUAUGAUAAACUCACAAUGUUGUACUCCCCCUGUCCUGAAAUAUAAGGCAUUUUGGUUUGUCCUAAGUCAAACUGCUCUAAGUUUGACCAAGUUCAUAAAGAGUAAUAAAAUUUUAAAUGUCAAAUGAGAAUAAUUAGAUCCAUUAUGAACUAUAUUUUUAUAAUUUACUCAUUUGCUGUGUUAGAUGUUAAAUAUUUUUCUCUAUAAACUUGGUCAAACUUAGACUACUUACUUUGACUUAGGACAAACCAAAAUGCUUUAUAUUUCAGGACGGAGGGAGUAUGCUGUGAGCUAAUAUUUCCUUGCUUUUUUCUUUAGUGAUUUGUUUGCAAAAAAGCUGAUUUGACCUACUGGUUUGGCUGACAAUUAGUGGUAGAAAUGUGAUAACUUGCUUUACUUUGUUUGGGGGUUUACUUGGUUUUGUAAAUUAAUUUAUAUACUGUGGUCCAAUCUGAGCUGAAAUAACAUAGCUAAAUGAGCAUGCACAUACAUUGGUAUCCGGGCGUUAAAAUGACUGCUGUACAAGUGCUAACUGAUGCCAUGAUACGCAACUUAUGCUCUUUUUAGUUAAAUGGUUUGUUAUUCCACCUCAUUAUUCUGCUUAGUGUGAUAGUAUCCAUUCCAUAUUCUAGUAAAUUUGAUUGAAAUUCUGCAUGCUGACUUUUGUAUUAAUGUGUUGCAGGCUGUCGGUAAGGUUCUUCCUGAAUUGAACGGCAAGCUCACUGGUAUGUCCUUCCGAGUUCCGACAGUGGAUGUCUCUGUUGUUGACCUCACCGUUAGACUUGAGAAGGCUGCCUCGUAUGAGGACAUCAAGAAGGCUAUCAAGUAAGUAGUUUUUCGUUUAUUUUUAAAAUUAAUCUCCAUGAAUAUCAUAAUGUUUUUUGUUGGCAUUAUCCAAUGCUAUGUUUGACAUGGAGUGAGGUUUCUUGGUCCAUGUUCCUUGCGUGGUUCGAGAUCACAAAACAUCAUUGAUUUACUUGCUUUGGUUUUACAGGGCUGCCUCUGAGGGGCCUCUCAAGGGUAUUAUGGGAUACACAGAGGAGGAUUUGGUUUCCACCGACUUCACUGGUGACAGCAGGUAUUGAAUUUUGUUUUGGGUCCUCUUAGGAAUCAGUGGACUAUUAUUACACUUCUAGUGCACACUGCUACGAGGAAGUAUGGUGAUUCUCUGCUGUAUUUCAUCGUCAUUUCAUUCCUUCCACUCAGGUCGAGCAUCUUUGACGCCAAGGCUGGAAUCGCUCUGAACGAGCACUUCGUCAAGCUCGUCUCCUGGUACGACAACGAGUGGGGCUACAGCAACCGCGUCGUCGACCUGAUCCGCCACAUAUUCAAGACCCAGUAGAGCGUUUCGUAGUGAUGGUUCCCAUGGGCUUUCUGGUCGUGGACCAGCCUGCUGCUUGUCUAUGCAGAGAAUAAAUGUGAAAGGCGCCCUCCUUACGCCAGGAUUCAUGCUAAGUUGGGACAUGAGUUGCCUUUUGUUUUUCCUAUCUGCCACCUUCCUGUAACGAAGUUGCUAUUAUGGACCUGAGUUUAGUUUUUGCUUGUGAAGAAUAUAAACAGGGGGGUUGUAAUUUUGCUGUGUUGGUCGGUUUGUUGAAUAGAUGAGUUUUUGUGUUUGGUGAUU
rnacentral:lncRNA from 1 species